GACUGCGGCAUCGUGUCGUCGGACGAGGACGAGAACGACGUCGACGAGGGCGCGAAAGCGGCGGCGAAAGCGGCGCCGCCGCCGAGGGAGCCGCAGCCCGAGCCCGACCCGGAAAUUUGCGACUACGCCGGCGGCACCGAGCUGUUCGAUCCCGCGGACGAGGACGAGGAGGACGAGGACGAGGACGAGGACUUCGAGAACAUGGACGAGGACUUCGAGAACAUCAUGCCGACGCAGGCUGCGCCCGCGGCGGCGACUAUAGGAAGAAAGAAAGUGAAGCGAUGAAUGAAUGCGCUCAAAUAGCUGAUGGAUUGGAUAUCCAUAGUAUUAUUGACAACGGGGCGGGGAUCGAAUCCCUCCCCCGCGACUAAGGCAGUCUAUAUUCUUCUCAAACUUCACUUCUUUCGAUCGCCCUGGAACACCUGCCCGGACGCGGUCAACCCGACCUUCUUCACCGCGGGCGCCGCCGUCGCGUCCGCCGCCGCCGCCGCCGCGUCAUCGUCUCCCCCGACUUCGAACACCGCCGUCGGCGGCGGAACCCACGCUUCCACCCUCUCCAUCGUCCCCGCCUCCUCCGCCGCCGCCGCGACGGGCGGCCGCAACUCCCACUCUUCCAUGACGACGUGGUUCACCCUCGGCGUCGGGCUCACCGGCCUGAGCUUCUUCUGCUCCGGUUUCGACACGAGCUUCGCGAAGCGCUCGUAAUCGAUGUCCUCGCCCUCGCCGUCGCCCAAGUCGCACCGGCGCAUCAUGCGAUGCAGCGUCUCAUCGUCCACCUCCACGUUUGCUUUCUUUAAAACCGACCGGAUCGCCCCGACGCUGAGCGUGCCCUUGGCGUUCGCGUCUUUCGCUCUAAACGACGCCGUGAGCGUCUCCGCCUCUGGCCUUUCGACGAAAACUUUCGGGACGAGUUUCCUCACAAACCCUUGCACCGGCUGCGCGUCCUUCACGUUCACGUUCACCCUGACCGCGGGGUUGGAAGACGUCGCGGACGCGGCGUCGCCGUGCUUCGCGAAGAGAUCGACGCCGACCGCCGCGCCGUCGCCGGCGAAUUUGUCGUACAACCCUCGCGCAUCCUCGUCCGACACUGUCGCGAGUCCGACGCCGUCGAGCGCUUUCCGAAACGCGUCAAACGUCACGACGCCAGUCUUCGUCGGGUCCAACAGACGCGAGUAGUACCUCGCCUCGCUCCACCCCGCGGGGGUCUUCCCGGAGAUCUUCUCCUGCACGAGCUUCUCGAGCUGGUUCGCGGACAGCCGCUUCGGGAACGCCCGCGCUUUCGUGAUCGCCGGGGGUUUGUAGUUGUUUCCGCCGAGAACUUCAAACCCAGUCGCCGGCGGCGGCGCGUCCGCGAGCGCCCCCUCCUCCGCCGCUCUCGCGGCGACUUGCAACGCCGCGAUGAACGGCCCGGGCUUCACGCGCGCGGUGUGCGUAUCUCCCGCGUGCGGGCCGUUCACGGACGCGACGUCCCCGGCGUGAUGCGCCGCGGACGCGGGAAGCGCCAACGACGAGUCCUUCGCCGCGCGCUUCGCGGCUUCGAUCGCGGCGCUUCUCGAGACGCUCCCUCCUUCCUCGAGCUCCGCGAGCGCGCUCGUCAGGGCUUGGAAGAACGCGGCGAUCUUGCCGUUGAUUUUCUGCCCCGCGCGGUUCGCAGCCGUGGGGUAGUCCGCGGGUAAGAGCCUCGCGACGAAAUCCGCCUUGGAGAUUUGCCCCGUCCCCGUGGAGUCGUACCGCGCGAUGAGCGCGUCGAGUUCCGCGGGGGAGAGGGCCAUCUGGAAGUCGUGUAACGCCUCAGCGAGCUGCGUUUUCGUAAUAAACCCGCUCCGGUCCUUGUCAAAGUGCGUGAACGCCUUGCGAAGCUCCGCGGGGCCGCCUUUGCUGCGAGACAUGAGCUUAUCCCGCAGACGGUUUUCAAUCUCAUCCGGGGUCAUCGUCCGCGGCGCCGCGACGGGCGCUCGUCCGCCCUUCCUCGCCGCGCCCUUCCCAAAGCCGUCGAUCCAAUCGCGCUUCGCCGCGGUCACCGCGCUCGCGGCGACCCCGGACUCGAACUCCGUCACCGCUACCUUGAGCGCGGCGGCGGCGAUCCGACCGUCGUGCGACUCGUCCGCGAGAUCUUUCAACCCCCGCAGCAAGUUCGCGUCCACGUCCUCGCCCAGCGCGUCUCGACAUUGCUGAAAGUUGAGGUGCCCGCCGUUCGCGGCCGCGGCGGCCGCGAGCGCGGCGCCGGGGGCGACGAGCCCCGCGUGGACGUCCGAGCGAAUCUUCGCUUCGUCCUCCGGCUCGAUGCCGACGGCGACGUCGAUCGGGAUGAACUCCUUGAUAAACGCGUCAAAGGUGACGUGCCCGGUGCCGAGCGGGUCGCACCGUUUGAACAGCGACGCGACGACGUCCUCGGUCGGGACGAUGAGGAAGUUGGCGAGCAUCUGCUUAAACUCGCGCGCGUCCAGCGAUCCGUUGCCGUUGAGGUCGAGCCCGAGAAACGCGCGUCGCAACGCAGCGCCGCUGCCUUGAAACUUUUCGCGAAUCUUCUCCUUGAGUAGCGCCGCCACUCUCUCGACCGUGCCCGCCUCGCCGGUGAGCUGCUGGACGUCCUUCGGCGGGCGCGGUUUCCCGUGGAGCGCCGCGGCCGCGGAGGGCGUCGCCGGGCGGUCGUCCGCGCCGCCGGGGGCGGGGGCGGUCGCCGCCGGGAAAUCUUCCGGGAGGACGAAAUUGCAAAAUUUCGGCAAGUCGACGUACCCGGCGCCGUCGACGUCGAACCGCGACAUGAUCCCGUCCAAAAUCUCCUCCGUGCUGUCGAUGUUAAACCGCGCGAGCGUCCUCGCGAUGCCAUCGCGGUCGACCUUGCCGGAGACUUUGCCGCUGCCCGCGAGCGACUUGAACGCCUUCGCGCGUUGGUGCGAGCCCGCUUUGGAGCUUUCCAAAAUUUUUUCGCGCAGCAACACGUCCACGGGCACGCGCUUGCCCGCGACGGAGUACACGGGGACUUUCACCUUGCGGUACGGCGUCGGGACCGUCGUCCGCGGCGCGAGCUCAGCAGAGAGCUCCUCCGCCGGUGCGUUCGUCGGCGCUUCCGUCGGCGUCGGCGCGGCGACAUCCCCGGCGAAGUGCGCGCGGGGUUGCGAGGACGGCGCGGCGUCGGCGGCGUCGGCGUCGGCGUCGCCCGCGCCCGCGCCCGCGCCCGCGCCGCCCGCGCCCGCGGACGCUUCCUUAUCCAAAGUCGCGACCGCGCCGGAGACGACGUCUCUCGCCGCCGCGCGCGUCGCCGCGGCAGCCUUACGCCUGCGCUCCGCCUCCGCGUACUUCGUCCACGGCAUCUCCUCCGCCGCGCGCGGCGCGCGCUUCGAUCGCGACUCGGUCGGGAUCGCGAUGGGCUGCCCUCGGCCCUUCACCGUGCUGACCAUCGCGAACUUUCGGAUGAAGUUCCCGUCCUUGUCUCGGUUCGGCUUGGGCGUGCGCUCGACGAGCGGCCCCGGCUCCGGGAGCUUCUUCGCCUUGCGCGCCAUUCGCACGGCUUUGCGCUCGCGUCGCAUCGCGUCGUCGCCGAGGAUGCGCGCUUUUUCGCGCUCGAGCCUCGCGCCCGCGGACGCGUUCUCGUCGCCGUCGUCGCGCCCCACGAGCGUGCUCUCGAGGCGCUUCUUCGGUGGGAGGUUCUUCGGCGUCGCGAACGACAUGAUGAGGGCGUCGAACGUGCGGAGGGCGCGCGUUCGAGUGAUGAAGACGCGGGCGGCGAGGGCGCGAGCGACGGUUCUGUUGUUGACCUCAAACCAAACGGUCAAAAUCUGGGAAACGGCAAAAAGCGUCGAACCGUAACGCUCGGACGGACCGGCAGCGCGCCGCGGCGCAGAUCUCGCGCGCCGCCGCCGCGAUGAGCCUAUUCGGCGACGACAAGGAGUCCGAAUGCGGCGCGGUGAAGAAAGUCUCCGGCCCCGUCGUCGUCGCGGACAACAUGUACGGCGCGGCGAUGUACGAGCUCGUGCGCGUCGGCGGCGACGCGCUCGCGGGAGAGAUCAUUCGUCUCGAGGGCGAUUCCGCGACGAUACAGUGCUACGAGGAGACGUCCGGGCUGACCGUCGGCGAUCCCGUGCUUCGAUCGCGGCGGCCGCUCAGCGUCGAUCUCGGCCCGGGGGUCAUGGGCGACAUCUUCGACGGGAUACAGCGCCCGCUGCGGACGAUCGCGAAAGUCGCGGGGGACUGCUUCAUCCCGCGCGGGAUCGACGUCCCGAGCGUGGAUCUCGACAAACCGUGGGAGUUUCAUCGCCCGACCGCGACCGGAGGGGACGGCGGCGGCGGAUUCAAGGUCGGCGACUACGUCACCGGCGGGGACGUCAUCGGCGUCGUCCCGGAGAACAACCUCAUCGCGCACCGCGUCAUGCUGCCGCCGAGCCUCCGCGGCCGCGGGAAAAUCUCGUGGCUCGCCGAGCACGGCGACUCGUACACCCUGCGCGACGCGGUCGUCGAGCUCGAGGUUGACGGCGUGACGAAGUCGUACACGAUGCUGCAGAAGUGGCCGGUGCGAACGCCGCGACCGGUCGCGGAGAAACUCAUGGCGAACCACCCUCUGUUGACCGGGCAGAGGGUUUUAGACGUCAUGUUUCCGAGCGUGCUGGGCGGGACGUGCGCCAUCCCGGGCGCGUUCGGGUGCGGUAAAACGGUCAUCUCCCAGGCGUUAUCGAAAUAUUCAAACAGCGAUGCCAUCGUCUACGUCGGCUGCGGCGAACGCGGCAACGAGAUGGCGGAAGUGUUAGCCGAGUUUCCGUCGCUCACGCUGACGCUCCCGGACGGCUCCGAGGAGAGCAUCAUGCGGUGCGUUCUCUGCGAACGUUUUCCACCCAUCGCGCCGGUGUCAACAUUUGAUCGUGCCCCGUUUCAACUGACCGAUGAACAUUUUGGAAUCACCCUGCCCCGAGACGGACGACGCUCGUGGCGAACACGUCGAACAUGCCCGUCGCCGCGAGAGAGGCGUCGAUAUACACCGGCAUCACGAUCGCAGAGUACUUCCGCGAUCAAGGGUUCAACGUCGGCAUGAUGGCGGACAGCACGUCGAGAUGGGCGGAAGCGCUCAGGGAGAUCUCCGGGCGUCUCGCGGAGAUGCCGGCAGACGCCGGAUACCCGGCGUACCUGGGCGCGAGGCUCGCGUCGUUUUACGAGCGCGCCGGCCGGGUUCGGUGCUUGGGGUCGCCGAAGCGCGAAGGCUCGGUCACGAUCGUCGGCGCGGUGUCUCCGCCCGGGGGCGACUUCAGCGACCCGGUCACGAGCGCGACGUUAGGGAUCGUCCAGGUGUUUUGGGGGCUGGACAAGAAGCUCGCGCAGAGGAAGCACUUUCCGAGCGUGAACUGGUUGAUCUCGUACAGUAAGUACGACAACGCGUUGCGUCCGUUCUAUGAGAAGACGGACCCGGAGUUCCUGUCGUUGCGCGCGAGAGCGCGGGAGGUUUUACAGAAAGAGGACAAGCUCAACGAGAUCGUGCAGCUCGUCGGGAAGGACUCGCUCGCGGAGACGGACAAGGUCGUCCUAGAGACGGCGAGGUUCCUCAAGGAAGAUUUCCUUCAGCAGAACAGUUUCACCGCCUACGAUAAGUACUGCCCGUUCUACAAGUCCGCGGGGAUGCUACGCAACAUCGUGAAGUUCCACGACCUGUCCACGGCCGCGAUCAAGCGCGCCGCCGCGGCCGCGGCGGAGGGCGGCGGCGGCGGCGGCGGCGGCGGCGGCGGCGCGAAGAUAACCUUCGCGGUCGUCAAGUCGCGGACGUCGGAUCUGCGGCGCCGACUCGCGUCGCAAAAGUUUGAGGACCCGGCAGACGGGGAAGCGCGCGUGGUCGCGAAGCUCGCGGAGCUCGGGGACGACCUCGUGUCGUCGUUCAGGCAGCUCGAGGACGAGUUCAGGUAGGUCACGUCACGCGACCGCCGGCGAUUAAUUUUACCGCGCGAUCGAUGAUAUCGCGAAACCCCGCCGUCUAGCUAGCGCGGACUCGUCGAUCGACUAUAGGAUAUCGCUACUCGGCGUCGGACCCCAGACCCGGCGGCGGCGCGUCCGCCUCCGCCGCCGCCUUCGCCUCCUCCUCCUCCCCCACCUCCGACUUCCCCCGCUGCGAGAAGUGAUCCCUCAGGAGCUCCCGCCCCGGCCUGAGGAACGCGUCCGCCCAUCUCUUAUCCACCCCCUUCAGCGCGUCCCUGACGUCCUCGCGCGCCUUCACGAAAUCGCCGUCGUUCAUCACCGGCUCCCCCGCGUCGACGCUGAGGGUCGUCGCCCAUACGAAGCGACGUCGGGGUGGAGUUGAAAGGCGUCAGAACUGGAGUUGAAAGGCGUCGAGGUGUGUGCGUCGGGAUUGUGAGCGAGGGACCCUGGGCGGAGAGAUGCGACCGCCGGGAGAUAAAGUCCUUAAGGAACGGCGUUCACCGCGCCGACGCGGUCGUAUGGGGACCAGUGUGAGAUAGAAAGAGGACGCGCCUGAUGGCGUACGGAAGAUCUAUCCACGACCUGCACCCGCCGUAUCGCUCCACAUCCGGCGGCAGCGUCGUCAGCGCCGCGUCCUCGUCCGCGAGUUUCUUCACCCUGAGCUCGAGGAUCGUGAUCGGUGCCUCCGGCUUCCACUUCAUCCGCGCGGAGAGGAGCUCCGGGGUCCACGCGUGAUGCGCGGCGAGUUUUUCAAACACGCUCGCGUCCUUCGUGACCCACGCGCCCGUGCACUCCGCGAUGAGCGUCACCGGCACGGCGUCGCCGUUCUUCAUGUCCGGCGUCGGCGUCUCCAUGAACGCUCGCGCUCUCUCUCGCAGCGGCGUCGCCUCGGUGAUGCGUUCGCUCGGAUGAUACGCCGUGGGGAAGAGCGCGAAGUGUCUGGCGACGAGCUCGAACCCGCCGUCGCCGUCCCUCAGCCCGCCCUUGCGGAAGACGAUCGUCUGCUCGCCAGCCUCGAGCGCGGCGACGAUCGCGCCCCACUCCUUCAUCGCGACGGUGAUGGGCGGCGGCACCCCGCGCGGGGUGCGUCGCGCGGGAGGCGGGAGAUGUUGUUUUCGCGCAUCGUCCGCCGCGUCGUUCUCUUUCGCCCCGUUCGCGUCCGACGCCGCGGCGUCCUCCACGGCGGCGCGAAGAGGUCGCCGUCCGCGACGGCGUCGACGCGAUGACACGCCGGCGCGUCGGGCGAUGACGCGCGACGCGAGCGUCGCGGCGACGGGCGUCGCCAUGUCGCCCCCGCGCGCCGGCGAAUGCCGCGCCGCGUGCGGCCGACCGACGAAGCGCUUCUCUUCGGGGGGUGCCGUGAGCGAUGCCUCGUCACCCACUGCAGCGGCGUUAUCCUUCCGUUCGCGUUCAUCACUCCCCCGCGCGCGCGAUGCUUCGCCUCGCCGCCUCCCGACUCGCACGACGCGCCGCGCCCUUCGCGGGCGCGGCCGCGAGGCCCGUCCUCGCGCCGCUCGCGCGCGGCAUGGCCGACGACGCGUCGCUUCUGAAGACGGCGCUGUACGACUUCCACCUCGAGAUGGGCGCCAAGAUGGUGCGACGCGCUCUUCGACGACCUCCUCGAUCGAUCGACGGACGGAUGGAUGGCGCUCGACGGUCGAUCGCGACGCCCUCGGCGCGGCGCGACCCGCGCGCGAUCGCGAUGACGACGCGACGCCACCGUCGUCGCGAUAUCGCGAUCGCGCGGAGAUCGCGUCGUUCGCGCCGCGCGUCGCUUCCUCCCUCUCGUCGACUCUCCCGUCCCCCGGCGUUGUCCCUUCGAACGGACGCGCUUCGUCGUCGCCUCCGCUGUCGUUCCGAAAAAAACAACGCGAUGCCGCGUUCGUUCGUUCGUUCGUUCAUCCUCCCUCCCUCCCUACCCCCUCUCCCUCCCCUCUCCCUCCUCCAGGUCCCGUUCGCCGGGCACAGCAUGCCGAUCCAGUACGCCGACUCCAUCAUGGAAGCGACGAAGCACUGCCGCUCGGCCGCGUCCCUGUUCGACGUCUCCCACAUGCUCGGCUCGUCCAUCCGCGGGAAGGACGCCGUCGCGUUUACCGAGUCUCUCGUCGUCGGCGACAUCAAAGCGCUGAAGAACGGCACGGGCACUCUGUCCCUCGUCACGAACGAGCACGGCGGAAUCAUCGACGACACCGUCGUCACGAAAGUCACCGACGAGGACAUCUACAUCGUGUUGAACGGCGCGUGCUCGGCCAAGGACCAGGCGCAUAUCAACGCGCACCUCGCCAAGGCCAAGGCGAAGGGCAUGGACGUGGAGUUCAUCGUCCACUCCGAUCGAUCGCUGCUCGCGUUCCAGGGCCCCAAGGCUGUGGACGUGCUCCAGCCCCUGUGCCCGGGCUUGGACCUCGAUAAGCUGUACUUUGGGAUGUUCACGGAGGCCACCGUGGACGGCAAGCCGGUGUGGCUGACGAGGACGGGGUACACGGGGGAGGAUGGAUUCGAGAUCUCGCUCUUGAAGACGGACACCGUCGCGCUCGCGAAGAAGCUGCUCGAGAACCCUGCGGCGCGGCUCUGCGGCCUCGGCGCGCGCGACUCGCUUCGCCUGGAAGCGGGCUUGUGUCUGUACGGCAACGACCUGAACGACAGCAUCGGCCCGAUCGAGGCUGGGUUGACGUGGACGAUUGGAAAAUCCCGCAGAGACGCGUGCGAUUUCGUCGGCGGCGACGUCAUCAAAAAGCAGCUCGCGGACGGCGUCGACAGGCGCCGCGUCGGCUUGAAAGUCGGUAAGGGCGCGCCCGCGCGAGGCGGCAGCAAGAUCCUCGACGUGGACGGCGCGGAAGUCGGCGAAGUCACCUCCGGCGGGUUCUCCCCCGUGCUCGGCGAGAACAUCGCGAUGGGAUACGUGAAGAAAUCGCUCGCCAAAGCCGGGACGGAGCUUCAGGUCGAGACGCGCGGGAGGAAGAGCACCGCGGUCACGGCGAAGAUGCCGUUCGUGACGUGCCACUACCACAGGCCGUCCGCGUGAGCGUGAGCGUGAGCGAGCGAGGAGGUGUUCGCGUCGAGCGGGGGGCGUCGAUGAUGACGAGUUUACACUACACGUGUACUAGCGUCGUUGUUGUUUUUACACGCUGGAUGAAGGAAGGAAGGAAGGAAGGAAGGAAGGAAGGGACGCGCCGCGUCGCGGCCGCGGAGCCACGAGCGCGCUGUCGUCUUCGUUCGUUCGUUCGUUCGUUCGUUCGCCCAGCACGGUCGGUGCAUCAAAGAAUCCAAUCCGCCUCCCCCCCCCCCCCUCCCAGCUCCGUCCUUCAGGGCCGUCCUAUACAAGCGAAUAUCGGGGUGGAGUUCAUAGGCGUCAGUUUGAGUUGAAAGGCGCCAAGGGCGGGGAUUGAAAGCAAGCGGUGGGCGGAGAGACGCGCCGGGCAAAGUCCUUAAGGAUCGGCGUUCACCACGCCAACGCGGUCGUAUGGGAACCAGUGUAUAGAACGCACCUCACGUGAGCCCGUAUCCGCAACACCGCGUGCACUGCUCUUGCGUGCACCCUAGACACCGAUGACACCGCGCGACGUUCGGUAUCGUGAUCUCCCCCCUCCCGCCGCACAGGACGCACUUCAUGACGCCCCUUCCUCGGCACCGCUCGCACCGGUUGUGCAGCUUAUCGAACGCGACGAUCGCGCUCCGCAGCUGCGCCGCGACGUGAUGCAGGUCCACGCCGAGGUCUGUCUCGGACUUUUGCAGGCAUCGGAGCGUCUCCUCCAUCAUGCUCUUCGGGGACCAGUCCAUGUCGCCGGGCCGCGCCGCGCGACGUGGGGAGGAGCGCGUGGCGUGGGAGGCACGGAGGCGCGCGUUGCCGCGAGGCAGCGCGUGACGCGUCGGGUCGGCGCGAGACGUGAAGAAUGCCGCGCGAAAACCUCGAGAAGAACGUCUCGUCUGAUGACUCGGCGUCUCGGCGUCGGCGUCGUCGUCCAGUGGCCUUUUGACCCGUGCGCGCGAUGAAACUCUUCGAUCGAAGAACACGUCAUCACCUUUCACUUCUGUCGUUUUCAUCGUUCAAUUCAUCGGUGAAGCAAUCGUUGUUACGCCGAUACCACGCAAAUGCUUUUUUUGCCGCGCAAAAUAAUAUCGCCGAGACGUGUCGCGAGCGUCACUUCUUCGCGCUUCAUGCGACGAGCGGCCUCGCUCAUAAACCGCGGGAUGAUGAGUUCCCUUUCCCUCACCGGCGCGUUCGUCCAGGGUGCCCCCUCGAAGGUGCGCGCUCGGCCUCGCGCGCCUCUCCGUCUUCGCGCGCCGUCGCGCGCGCGAACCGAUCUUGAAUCACAUUAUUUUUUCCUCGUUGUUUGCCGACUCCCGCGCGCGAUCGCUCGCCGGCGCGAUCUCACGCCGCCCGCGUCCCUCCUCCCCCUACCCAGGCUCCCCUCCGCGCGUCCCGCGCGCUCUCGACCACCACCACUCGCCGCGCGAUGAUAUAUCGCGCCCCGGCCCGCGCGGCCGCGAACCUCGGCAACGGCGGCGUCGACGACUCCCUCGCGAAGCGCCUCCUCGCGUCGGAUCCCGCGGCCGCCUCGCUCGCGUCGCAGUCCGCGUCGUUCUCCUCCGCGGCCGCGAAGAAGAAAGCCGCGGCGGCGAAGUCCGCGGCGAAGCCGAAGUCAAAGGCGGCGGCGUCGAAGACGCCCGCGCCGGCGCCGGAGAAGCCCGCCGCGGCCGCGGAGGAGGAGACGCUCGACCCGGAGACGCAAAAGGUCAAAGACGCGAAGCUGCGAGCGCUCGACCGCGUCCUCGGCGAGAUCGACGCCAACUUCGGCAAGGGCUCCAUCAUGAAGCUCGGUACCGCGUCGCAGGCCAAGGUGGCGACGUUCCCCUCCGGCGCGAUGACCUUGGACAUCGCCCUCGGCGGCGGCUUGCCCCGCGGGCGAAUCGUCGAGGUGUACGGCCCCGAGUCCAGCGGCAAAACAACGCUCGCGCUGCACGCCAUGGCGGAGAUGCAAAAGUUCGGCGGCAACGUCGCGCUCAUCGACGCGGAGCACGCGUUCGACCCGGAGUACUCCGCGAGGUUGGGCGUCAAGGUGAACGAGGUCAUAGUGUGCCAACCGGAGACGGGGGAGAUGGGGCUCGAAGUGGUCGACGCGCUCGUGCGAUCGGGCGGGAUCGACCUGAUCGUCGUCGACUCCGUCGCCGCGCUCGUCCCAAGGAGCGAGAUCGAGGGCGAGAUUGGGAUGGUCCAGGUGGGCGCGCACGCGCGGCUGAUGUCGCAGGCGCUCCGGAAGAUCAACGUCAACGCAGCGAAGGCGGGGGUGACGAUCAUCUUCCUCAACCAACUCCGAUCGAAGGUCGGGGUCAUCUACGGCAACCCCGAGAUCACCACGGGCGGGAACGCGCUCAAGUUCUACGCCUCCGUGCGCCUCGACAUCCGACGCAAAGAAGUCAUCAAAGGCAAGUCCGGGGAGGACGACCUCGGGACCAGGGUCAAGGUGAAGGUGGCGAAGAACAAGGUCGCGCCGCCGUACAAAGUCGCCGAGUUUGACAUGCUCUUCGGCCGCGGCAUCGACCCCAUGGGGUGCACCCUGGACGCCGCGGACAACAUGGGCGUCGUUGACAAGCGCGGCGCGUGGUACUCCUACAACGACGAGCAGCUCGGGCAGGGCAGGGAGAAGACGAUGGAGAAGCUGCGGGAGAACCCCGCGAUGCUCGCGAGCGUGGAGAAGGACGUUCGGCGGAUCAUCGCGGAGCGGCUCGCGGGGCAGGCGCGUCCCGUACACUGGUUCCCAUACGGCCGCGUCGGCGUGGUGAACGCCGAUCCUUAAGGACUUUUCCCGGCGUGUCUGUCCGCCCAGCCCUCGCUUUCAAUCCCGACACACCUCGACGCCUUUCAACUCCAACUGACGCCUUUCAACUCCACUCCGACGUUCGCUCGUAUGGAACGACCCUCAGUACGGCGCGCCGAUCGCCAAGGUGGCCGUGGAGCCGCUCAAGGUGAACGCCGCGACCGAGUUCGAUUUCGACCUCGACGACGAGCUCGAGGGGAACGCGCGCUGAUCGGAGGGAGAAGAAGAGAAGAGGGGGAUGAGAGAGAGAGGGCCAUCGCGCUAUCGGCGAUGAUGACAAGCGUGAAAAAUAACAUCUGAGGUUCUGACGAGCGAAUUUUUGUGACCGUUUGUAACCGUCGCGAGUUCCGAGGCCGGAGGGGACCGAAGCGUGGGCGCCGCGCGCGGUCGCACACCGUCCCCGCGCGCGCCGCCGCACCCGCGUCGAGCCACACGGGACCGUUCGUCCCCGAACCCCGCGCGCGUCGCGUCGUUCGUCGCAUCGCACGCCGCGGCCCUCGCGUCGCCCGCGCGUCGUCCUCGCGUCGCGGAGAGCGUCCAUCGCAUCUCGUCCGUCGUCGUCGUCGUCGUCCGGCGAGAUGGCGACGCGCGGCGCGCCGCGCCGCAGCGCGAGGAACAGCCCCCCCAUCGCGGGCGCGCCGUCCAACGCGGGCGUCGAGACCGACAUCGCCCCCGUCGCGGCCGCGCCGUCGUUCCGAACUCCCGGGAAGACGCCCGGUUCCGCGCGCCCGGCGUGGCGCGGUCCCGGCGCGAAAGAAAACGUCGGCGCCCCCGCGCAUCAUCUCUCCCCGCGAACGGGACCGACGUCGCGCAAGCUCGACGCGCGCUCGCCCGCGUCCGCGGCGAUGACCCCGGGACGAAGCGCGCGCCCGAAGUUCGCGUCGAGGACGCCGGGGGGAAGCAAGCUCGGGACGCCGUCGCGCGUCGUCCGCGGCGCGUACCCGCGCCCGAGUUCCUACACCCCGGGGAAGAAUCUGCCCCCGCUGUCCCCGGCGCAGAAUCUUCCGCGCUCGCCGAUGGCGGAGCUCGCGCACAACGAAAACACCCUGGUCGACGUGACGUCUCCGCUCGGAGCGUUCGUCCCCGCGACGGAGGCGAGGCUCACGCCGCCGAGCGCGCGCCGCCGCGACGGCGACGCCGCCGCCGCCGCCGCCGCGGAGCGAAGAGAGACGAUGGCGCCUGGGAGCAUCACGCCGUUCUCCGCGGCGAAAGUCCUUAAGGAACGGCGUUCACCACGCGAGCGCGGUCGUAUGGGAACCAGUCACGACGACGACGACGACGACGACGACGAGCCGGACGAAGUCGACGAAGAAGAAGUCGCGGAGGAACCGGACGACGCGACGCUGAUGCCGCCGCCGCCGCCGCGGACGAUGGCGAUGACGAUGCCCGAGGCUGAGCCUCUCGUCGACGCGCCCGUCGAGGAAGACGCGAAGGAUGAAGGCGAGGCGCCGGCGGCGCCGGCGCCGGCGACGGCGACGUUUUCCCCGGCGCCGGCGGCGGCGCCGGCGGCUGUCGCGGAGUGGAACUCGCCCGCGAUGGCGGAGCUCACGGGAGGGCACGAUCUCGGCCUCGCGCCGAGGGAUCUGCCGACGCCGACGAUGGCCCUGGACGCCGCGACGGUCGCGCUCAGGGCGAUGGAGGAGUCGUGGGCGGAGGAGGAGGAGGAGGAGGCGGAGGAUGCCGCCGCCCCCGCCGCCGCCGCCGCCGCGCCCGCGGAGGAGGAGGAGACAUCGGAAGCGCCCCCGGUCGAAGUCGAGCCCGCGCCCGCGCCCGCGCCGGAGGUCGAUGAGGUCAUCGUCCAGGAAGCGGCGGUCGUCGAGGACGGCGUGCGCGCGGCCGCGGUCGCCGCGGCGUACGUCGACACGAUCGAACCGGCGCCGGCGCCCGCCGCCGCGGAUGCGGCGGCGUCUCCCCUCGCGGCCCCGACGCCCUCGACGCGAUCGCCGCUCCCGCACCCCCCUACCGCCGCCGGCGCCGGCGUCGGUGCUGCGACCCCGUUCAACGCGAAACGAUCGCAAACGCCGAACGGUCAGACCCCGCAGUGGGCGCGGAACUCCAAGGCGUGGCACGAGCAGCAAGCGACGCAGCUCACGAACAUGAUGGAACGCGUCGCGCACAUGACGCACGAGCACUCGCACAGAGCCGCGGAGGAGUCCUACGUCGUGCAUCAGCAGACGAGCAUGUUGCAGAAGAAGCUCGAGAUGCAAGAGCGCGAGCUCGCGGCGCAGAGAGAGGCGUUGGAGCAGCAGUCGUGGCAGAUGAAGCUCGCGGCGGAUCAGGCGCGGAAGCAAGCCGAGGCGGCGGCGUCGGAGCAAUUUCGAAUGCGCGAGGAGCUUCAACGACAGAUGGCGGCGCAGCAGGCGGCGCAGCGCGCGAUGAUGAAGGAGGAGGAGGAGACGAGAAGGAAACUCACGGAGAUGGCCGCCGCCGCGGUGAAGGCGGUGACGCACGGGGUGAGCGCGAGUGGUAGCGCGAGCGGUCACGGGCCCGCGGGUCAACCCUCCGGCGUCCCCGCCGCCGCGCCGGCGCCCGCGCCGGCGCCGGCGCCGUCUGGCUGGGCCGCUCGCGUCGCGGCGUCGUACCAGAACGCCCCGAAACCCCCCGCGCCGGUCGCGACGACGACGACGUCGAAAGCGCUCGAGGACGAGCUCCUGGCGUGCCGACGCGCGAUCCAGCAGAAGAACGCGGAGUCCGACGCCGUCGCGCGGAGACUCCGGGAGUUGCAGCGGGAAGAGUCGGAGCUCGCUCUGCGCGCCGCGGAGCUCUCGCGGCAUCUCAUGCGCACGACGCUCGAGGGCGAGGGCAACGUGCCGCCGCUCGCGCCGUUCGAUUACGCGUCGAUUAUGCUGCGCGCGCCCGAGGGGGCGUCGCCGAAGAGCGCCGUGGACGCCAUCUCGCGCGCGGCGGCGUAUGCGGCGGGGGGCGGCGGCGGCGGCGGCGAGAGCGGCGGCGGCGAGUUUUUGCCGCUCACGCCCGUCGCCGCGGGCGGCGGGAGCGUCUACACGUCUUCGGCGGCGGCGGCGGCGGCGGGAGGCCCCGCGAUGGACGCGGACGGGUUCAUCGUCAUGGACAUGGGCUACGGCGUCCCCGAGAACGCGGCGCCGCCGCCCGCGGCGGGCGCGGAGGUCAAGGUCCAGGCCCCGGCGGCGACGGCGGCGGCGACGGUGACGGUGACGGCGACGGCGACGGCCCAGGACGUCGCCGCCGCGCCCGCGCUCGUCCCGGAGCCCGCGGAGGCGCCGCCCGCCACCGGCGCCGCCCUCGUUGCGACGUACAAGCGCCCGAUUCAAACGAUCGAGCUGAAGAAGGAGGUGGUCGCGCUCCACUUCCUCGGCGGCGCCGUCGACGCGUCCGACGCCGCGCCGAGGAUGCUCAUGACCGCCACCUCGGAUGGUUGCGUCCGGCUGUUCGAAGCCGGCGCGCGCCGCGCCGCGGGGAUGGUCCGCGGGCCCAAGUGCGGGAUCGUCGACGCGGCGUCCGCGGGGACGGAGGCGUACCUCGUCCCCGCGGACGCCGCGGAGGGCAUCGCGCGCGUCGACCUGAGCAACGGCCGCGAGCUCGGCGGGCUGUCGUGCCGCGGCGACGGCGACGACGACGAGACGGCCGCGCGGGAGCUCUCGUGCGUCGCCGCGGGGGAGAGAGGGAGCUCGAUCGUCGUCGCCGCGGGCGAGGGCGGGGACGUGUUCGUGUGGGACACGCGCGUCGGCCCGAGAGGGAGCUCGCGGAGGUCCGUCGGCGGCGCGGCGCGUUCCAACGCCGGGUGCGCGCCCGUGAUGACCUUGCACGUCGCCGGCGCCGCGCGCGUGUCCUCGCUCGCGCUCGGCGGGUACGGCGACGUCGCCGGCGCCGCGCCCGCGUCGGUCGCGGUCGUCGCGUCGAACGGCGCGAAGGUGUUCGACUUACGGAACGGCGGGUCGGGGUCGUCGCGGCCGACGCGGCUGCAGUCGCGCGAGCCCGGCACGCGUUGGUGCGGCGUCGCGAAGACCUCCGGCGGCGAGUUCGCGACGUUGUCCACGACUGGGGACGUCACCGCGUGGAGGCAGUCCGGGGCGGGGUACGCGCCCGUGCGGACGAUGCGAAACGUCGCGGGGGUGACGGAGAAUACGAACAGUCACAGCAGCAACGCGUCCUUCGCGCCCGCGUUCGCGACGUCCGCGGGGUCGCUCGCCGUCGCCGCCAACGGCGACGUCGUGUCCGCGUUUGACGUCACCGACGGCUCCACAGCGUCGGAGUGGAACAUCUCGGACGGGAUGGCGUCCGCGGGGGGUGGGAACGGGUUCGUGCGUAACGGCUGGGGGCAUGGCGUUAACGAUGACGGCGAGAUCGUGUCGCUGCGCGCCGCCGCGUUUGGGUUCGGCGCGGAGAGUCAAUCGUUCGGCGCGUCGUCCUUCGCGCUCGGGUUCACCGACGGCGUGGUGCGCGUGUACGGGCCGGGGGAUUCGCGAUGAUGGCGACGGUUCAUAUUACGGGACGCGAACCGUCGGCGUGUGCGCUGCGCGCGCGACGACGGCGACGCGACGGGAGGGGCGGGUGAUUAGAGACGAGCACGUAGCGCUCGACGUGUGUAUACAGACGACAGACGAAUGGAAUGGACGGACGACGAACGCGGUCGCGCGCGCGACUGGACUCGUUCUUUUUGCACAGCUGUCAGACAGUUUUCGUUCGUGACCUCUACGCGCCGCGUCGUCCAGUUCGGACGGCUCGCGCGCCUCAUCACCCGCGCGUCGCGUCGACGGCGCGCGCGUGCCGGUCAUAACGCCUCGCGCGCGCGGCUCUCGAUCUCUCGGAGCCGCGGGUAUCCUCGUCGACGCGCGCGCGCGCGUCGUCGACGCGCGGCAGAGGACGCACGCGCGGUCUCCGAGCGUCCUUUCGUCCCGUUCGCCGGACGAGCGGAGGCGAUUUUUCCUUCGCGGGAGCCAUGGCUGCGCGCGCGGUCUGCCGCGCCGCUCGGGGACGCGUCGCCGCCGUCGCGUCCACGUCCGCGUCGGCCGCGACGGAAGCGAUCGUCGCAUCGCGCGCGUCGCCCGCGUCCCGGCGCGGGCUCGUCGUCGGCGCGACGACGCGAGGGGCGCGCGCGGGGGGAGGAGCGAGGGGUCGGGACUCGACGACGUCGACGUCACGCGGGAUGUCCUCCUCCCCCGGCGCCGCGGCGUCCAUCCCGAGCGAGCUCCCCGCGGCGAGCGAGCUCAUCAAGCAGCUCUCGGACGCGCAGAGAACCGCGAUGUUAGAAGCGCUCGUCGCGCACGAGUCCAACGCCGCGGGAGAAGGAGGAGGAGGAGGAGGAGGAGGAGGAGGCGUCUCCCCCGGAGACGCGGCGUGCCCGACGGAUCGAUUAGAAGGCCUCGUCUUCGCCGCGCGCGGGGGUAAGACCAAGCGCAUGACCACGGAGGAAGUCAACGCGCUGUGGAAGCAAGCGGACAUAGACAAGAGCGGCGUCCUCUCGAGGAGCGAGUUCAACAUCCUCCUCGGGCGCGUGUUCGACCGAGCGCAACGACGCGGGCCGGGGCUGGAAGCCGCGAUGAUGCGCGCGGCGGGGAAAGGCGACGUCGUGAUCGAUAACAAGGUGCUCUUCGCGAUAUUCACCGCGCAGUGCAUCCCGUUCAUCGGGUUCGGGUUCAUGGAUAACGCGCUGAUGAUCACCGCGGGGGAGUACAUCGAGCUGAAAGUCGGCGCGACGUUCGCGUUGUCCACGAUGGCAGCCGCGGGGCUCGGGAACUUGCUCAGCGACAUCGCCGGCGUCGGCUUCUCGUCCAAGAUCGAGCUCAUGGCCGAGCGGUGGGGGUUCAAGAACCCGGAGUUGACCGCGGCGCAGGCGGCGAAGAGCGGGCCGCGGUUGAUGCGGAUGCUCGGCGCGGUGAUCGGCAUCUCGAUCGGAUGCCUGUUGGGGAUGUUUCCGCUGUUGUUUUUCGAGGACGACGACGAAGAAAAGGAAAAGGACUACAUAAAGAAGAUAAAGGCGCUGGAGGCGCGGCUCGAGGAGAGGGAGAAGAUCGCCGCCGUGGACGGAGGCUCCGUCGACUGAGGAGAGAUCGACGCGUCGAGCGACGAACGGCGAGGUGGGCGUUACUACAUAGCGUACAUAUACGUAGUCUAUACUCCGCGUUGACAUAAUUAGACUUAAUUUUUCACCUCGCCGCGGUCCUCGCCAGGGUGAUCGCCGUCGUCAAAGGCGUCAGAGCGCUCGUGUUCAGCGCCUUAAACUCCCUCGUGCCGCUGUCGUACUUCAUCGUGCUGUCCACGUUAUACAGCGGCACCACGUUAGGGCCGCUCUUGCCGUGAAUCUUCACCAGUCGCUCCACGGUUUCGUUCUCCGGAUCUCGCGUCAACGCGUACAACGCGCGAAAUUUCAACGGGAACGUGUUUUCCCGGAAGAGCACGACGAAGACGACGGCGACUUCCGCGGGGACCGCGUCCAACGCCGCGAGCGCGUCGUCGCGUUCUUUUUGCAUCGCCGCGCCAGCCAUGCACACGUGCGACAGCGCGUUGCGGACGAUCUUCUUGUUCGACAGUCGUUGCGACGGGCGAUACGCCGGGACGACGGCGGCGUCGGACGUUUUCCGACGACCGUCCGACAUUCUUCCUCUGGGGUGGAGUUGAAAGGCGUCGAUGGCGGGGAUUGACAGGAAGGGGUGGGCGGAGAGAUGCGCCGGGAAAAGUCCUUAAGGAUCGGCGAGCACAACGCGUGCGGGGUCGUAUGGGGACCGGUGUACAGAACGCACCCGCCAGCCCGCGCGCUCCUCGCGCGUCGCGCGUCGAUCGCCGCGGCGCCCUCGCUCGCCCUCGCCAUCCGCUCCGCGGCGGCGGCGGCCAACGAGCGCGACGUCACCGCGUCGUGUCCCAGCGUCGGCUCCACGCCGCCGCUCUUGGACAACGCGUCCCGGCCCCACGCCCCGCUCGGCACCCCCGCGUCGGCGUCUCUCUUCCACCCGCCGACGUCGAUCCACAUCGCCUCGCCCUUCAGGCCCUUGAACGCUUCCGCGCGCGCCUUCUCCCGCGCCUCGCGCUCGCGCUGCUCGGCGUCCUGCCGCUCCCACUCUGUCCGUCGGCGUUCCUCCCACGCGUCGCGUUCCUCGAGCUCGCGCGCGGCGUCGGACGGCACGAGGAGGUUCGACGCCCCGGAUUCGAACCCGUCCACGACGGCGGCGGUUCCCGCACCCGCGGCGUCGUCGUCGUCCACGAGCAGCUCGUCGUCGUCGACCGCGCCGAACCACUCCGGGAACGCGGGCGGCGGCGAGCCGGAGCCGGCGGCUUCCGCGUCGGCGGCUUCCGCUUCUCGCGCCGCGGCGUUCAUCGCGGCCUCCGCGUCCGCGGCGGCGGCGGCGAACGCGGCGUCCGCCGCCGCUCUCAGCGCGGCUUCUUCUCUUCUCGCCUUGGCGUCCUCCUCUGCCGCGAUCUCCUCGGGCGAGCGCGCGACGCGCGGCAGCGACCUCGGCGCGACGCGCAACGGAAUCGGGUCCGGCCCCGGGGCGUUCAGAAACGCCGCCGCCUCCGCCGCCGCGGCGGCAGCCUCCGCGAUCGCCGCCUCCGCGGCGCGCUGGAGCCGCUCCGCGCGCGCCGCCGCAGCCUUCGCCUUCUCCUCGCGCGCGAGGUUCGGAUCGCCGAGCCUCGCGACGCGCGGCGGCGGCGACGGCGACGACGCGCCCGCCGCCGGGGUCGGGUCCAGCCCCGGGGCUUCCAACAGCGCGCGCGACUCUUCUCGGACGAGCGCUUCCUCCGCGAGCGCCGCGCGUUCACGCGCGGCGCGCUCCGCCGCGGCCGCAGCCUUCGCGUCUCGCGCGCGUUCGGGCGUGAGCGUCGCCGCGCGCGGCAGCGGCGGCGGCGGGAUCGCCGGGAUGGGUCUCGGGCCGGGCGCGGCGGCGAAGGCGGCGGCGCGCGCCGCCGCCUCCGCGGCGCGGACGACCGCGUCUUGCGCGUCCGCGGCGUCUUUGGUCGCGCGCUCCGCAGCCGCGAGGGCUCUCGCCUCGCGUUCUUUUUCGACGUCGUACGUCGCCACGCGCGGCAGCGGGGGUUCGACGCGCGUCGACGUAGAUUUUUUCGUUGGCGUCGGCGUCGUCGGCGUCUCCUUUUCCUUUUCUUCCGCCUCCGCGGCGGCCGCCGCGAGGUCUUCCGCGAGCUGCGCCGCCGCCGCGGCUUCCUCCGCGGCGCGCUUCGCGUUCGCCGCCGCUUCCGCGGCUUGUUUCGCGAUCCACUUCGUCUCCUCGUCUCGCUUCUUCUCCGCGGACUGUCUCGCCGGGGAGGGACACGAGUCCCCGCCGCGGCGUCUGUUCAGCAGCAAUUCCUUCCCGACCACCGUGGGCUUCGUCGGCGUCCGCUUCUUACGUCCGGGCGACACGUCCAGACCGCCCUUACUCGCGAAGAACUGCAUCAGCGCCUCUCUGCCCGCAGCCUGCCUCUGUUCCCCGCGCGCCUUCUCCUUCGCCGUCUUUUCGCUCUCGAUUUGCCGCCGCUUCGCGUCGAGCGCCAUCCUCGCCGCGGCGUCGCCUCCUCUGACGCGUCGAAACGACGGCGCCGGGCUCGGCUCCGGGGACUCCGACGGCGGCGACGGGAGCAUCGCUUCCUCCGCGUCCUUCGCUUCCGCCUCCGCCGCGGCGAGGAGCGCGGCUUCCUGCGCCGCCGCGGCGACGCUCUUCUUCCCGCCGCCGCCGCCGGGGCUCGCCGCCGCGGUCGCGGUCGCGGUCGCGGUCGCGGUCGACUCGCCCUCGUCCGAUCGCAUGCUCAAUCGACCCGCGCGCUCCCACUCCUCCGCGACGGCGUCGUCCGCCGCCUCCGCCUCGUCGUCCGUCUCCAUUCGCCGCGUCGACGUUCCAGACUCGGAGAUGGUCAGCGACGCGCGAAGGGACGCGAUGCUCUGGCGCAACGACGCCGCCUCGCGGUUCAGACGCGCUUCGGCGUCGGCGUCGACGUCUUCGUCUUCGUCGUCGUCGUCCGCCUCGAUCGGGAGCGUCGAGAGUCGAUCGAGUACGCUCCGCCGCGCGUGCUCGGGGAUGACGGAGUCGCCCGCGAGGGGUUUCCCGCCGCGCCAGGACGACGACCCGCCAAAGUUCAUGCUCGAGAUCGUCGUGUCCCCGCUCGGGGGACCGCCCGCGGCGCGCGAAGACGACGACUCGCCGCUCGACCGCGCCGCCGAAAAGUCCAUCGAACGCGACGCGGCGGCGGCGCCGGCGGCGGCUCCCCGGGACGCGCGGGGGAGACGCGCGGGGGACUGCGCGGGCGAGGGCUCCAUCGACGCCGCGGUGGACGCGAUCGCGGACGACGCCUCCGCAGCCUCUUUCGCGCGUCGGCUCGCGUCCUCGACGACGUCCAGUCGACGCUCGCCCUCAGCCUCGAGCCGCGCCGCCGCCGCCUUGAAGAUGAUGUCGGGGUGGAGUUGAAAGGCGUCAGUCGGAGUUGAAAGGCGUCGAGGGUGGGGAUUGAAACCGAGGCGUGAGCGGAGAGAAUCGCCGGGAAAAGUCCUUAAGGAUCGGCGUUCACCGCGCCGACGCGGUCGUAUGGGGACCAGUGUAAGGAAUACGCGCCUCGAAGAUGGCCAUCUGGGCGCGCUCCUCCUUCAGCGUCCGCGACGCCCUCGCGUCCUCGUCCUCGGAGUCGUCGUCCUCCCGCGGCGGCAGCGGCGGGAACGCGCUCGACGCCUCGGAGCGAUUCAGCGACGCGCGGACGCUCGCCGCUCGCGACGUCUCGCGCGACGACGCGAGCGAAUUCGCGUCGCUCGUCGCGUGCUUCGCGGAUAUCUUCGCGCUUCGCGCCGCCGCCGUCGCUCGGUCCAGGCGUUUAUUCCCCUCGAGCUCGAGCGCGAACGCGUGCGUGCCGUGCGGGUUGAUCGAAGGGUACAACGACGGCGUGGCCUCGUCGUUCUCUUUGUCGUCGUCGUCGGGGACGGCGGAUUUGGCGGCGGCGGCGGCGGCGCGUCGCUCCGCCGGGCUCGCCACGAACCCCCCCCCAGCCCCCGUCCCCGCGCUCGGACUCUCCUCCUCCGCGCGUACCGGUCCCUCGCCCUCCUCGGUGACGUCGACGUCGAUCUCCACCUUCCCGAUGAGCUUCGUCGCGGCGCCGGCGCCGCCAUCGCGGUCGCCGCCGCCGAACGCCGCGACGGACGCGGCGGCGCCGCCGUAUCUCGCGCUGUCGACGCGCGCCGGCGGCGGCGCCCAGUGCGGCUCGGACACGUACGCGUCCGGGUCCAACGGCGGGCCUUCCAUGAGCGCCAGCCUCGCGGCCGCGGCUCUGCGGGAGGCCCUGUCCGCGGUGGGGCGCGGCGUCGCGCUCGGUUCGGGGCCGUCGCCCGUCGCGGGCGCGUCGACGGGGGCGUCGUCGUCGUCGCCGUCGGAAUCGAAGUCCACGCUGAGCCUCGCGGCGGCGCCCGCGGCGUGCCAUCGCGUCUCCGGGUCCUUCAGCCUCACGCUCGCGAUGUCGUGCGCCUCUUCUCUCUCGUCCGCGGCCUUCUUCUUCUCCUUCUCCUCCGCCUUCUUCGCGCUCGCGACGUGGAUGCGAUGCGCGUGGUUCGCGAGAUAGUGCUUGUACACCGCGCGCAGCAGAUCGUGCGCGCCCGCGGCUUCCCCGCGCGACAUCGCGACGACGUGCGGCGCGCACCUGCGCGCGAGCCCGGCGUGGGAUAACGACGCGUGGAGCCCCGGCAUCGCGGCGGCGGCGGCGGCGUGCGUGUCGUCGCCCGCGCCGAUCGUCCCGCCCGCGGUGACGGGCUCGCCGUCCAGCUUCGCGAGCGCGCGCGUGAGGAGCACGCCGUCGAGGCAGUCGUCGACGGACGAGACGCGGACGUCGUCGUCGUCGUCGUCCGUCGAGAGGAGGCGCUCGAGCCACGAAAGGAGCGGGUCCGCGGGUCGCAUCACCUCGGCGAGCGCGCCCGCGGGGGUAUCGCCCUUCGCGUCGGGCGACGGCAUCGCGGCCGGCCGUCCCUCGCGCGCGUCGUGGUCGCGAUGGUCGCGAUGUGAUUGAUGUGUUCCGCGGGACGGGACGAUUCGUCGUGUUGACUUUUUGAAUUUUCCGUCGUCGUCUGACGCGAGUUUCGUCGAACUCUCCCUCCCUCUCUCCCUCUCGCUCCCCUCCCCGGGCCUCACGCGCGCGCUCACGCGCUGCCCCCCCCCCCGUCGCCGCUCAGCAACCCCUCGCGCAUCAGUCGCUUCGCGCUCGGCCGCUCCCCCGGCGCCUCGCGCAUCAUGCUCGAGAUCAGCGCGUGGAACCCGUCCGACCAUCCCUCCCCGAGCGGCCGCACGCCGACGCCGCGUCGGAGCGCCUGGUACUCGUCGCCGCUCGACGGCAACGGCGCGCGGCGCGCGAGCUCGUACGCGGUCGCGCCCAGGGAGAAGACGUCCGCGCGGUCUAACCCCACGAAGGAGGAGUCGCCGGGGACGCCGAGCGAGCACUGCGAGUCGGAUAACGGCCCGGAUAAGGACGUCAUCGACGCGUCCUCCGACGACCCCCCGUCGCCAGAGGAGGAAGAGACGGAGACGCCAAAGUCGCCCCGCAGAAGCUCCGGGGCGAGGUAUCUCGCGUCGCCUUCCUCGACGGAAACCAGCCGCCCGCCGCUCCCGCCGCCGCUCCCACCGCUCCCGCUCCCGCCGCCGUCGCCCUUGCCGCCGCCCUUGGUCCACCCGAUCCCGUCCACGGGCGCGGCGCGGCCCCAGUCGGCGAGCUUAUACGCGCCCCUUCGGUGCAACACGUUGUCCGGCUUCACGUCCAGGUGCGCGACGUUUCUGGCGUGCGCGUACCGUAACGCGCGACACACGUGCGUUAACACCUCAAUCACCGCGGCCUCGUCGAAGAUCUUCACCCCGGCCGGGACCGGGACGCCGCUCACGAGCGACGCUUCCGUCGCGGCGUUCGAGAGCGCGCUCAGUUCGGACAACGUCCCGUCGCACAGUUCCAACUGAGAGCCGUUCGAGGCGGAGUCGAAAGGCGUCAGUUGAAGGAGUUGAAAGGCGUCGAGGCGCGUCGGGAUUGAAAGCAGCGAGGGACCCUGGGCGGAGAGAAACGCGCGCCGGGAGAGAAAGUCCUUAAGGAAUGAAGUUCACAACGCGAACGCGGUCGUAUGGGGACAGUCACGCGUGACGUACCUGAAUGUACAGGUGGUCGUACUCCAUCCACGCGCCGAAAUACCGAACGACGUGCUCGCCGCCGCCGCCCAAGCUCGCCAUCGCCUGCACCUCCCGCAGCGCCUCGAGCUUCUCUCGCUCCGUCUGCAACUUCUUCUCCGUGCGCUUCACCGCGUACUGCGCGCCGUCCAGACGGCCGAUGACUUUAAACACCUUGCAAAACCCGCCGCGGCCGACGACGCCGACGUCGACGAAAUCCGUCCGCAGCCGCGACAUCGUCGCGAGCGCCGCCGCCGGCGUGGGCGCGCCGCCGACGCGCGCGUGCGCGGGCGUCUCCGCGGGCUGAUCGCGCGACGGCAGGAACGCGUUCCGGUGGCACGGCGGCGACGGCGCCGCGCGCGGGAUGCCCCCGGACGAUCCGCGGCCUUUCAUCGGGCCCCGCGGCGCAGGGACGCGAAACAGUCCGUCGGCGGCGCCGUUGGAGUCGCCGCCGCGCCCGAGAAACUCCUGACUGCACGCCAUACCGCCGCCGCCGCCGAGCGAUCCGCCGCCGGCGCCGAGCGAUCCGCCGAGCCCGGGCUGCGACUGCGAUAACCCCCCGCCCAUGCCUUGCGACAGCGACCCCAACCCCAUGUCCUGGGAGAGCUCGAGGCCGAACCUGGGGCGUUUCGAACGCAUCGGCGACAGGUGCGCGGGGGACCGCGGGCCCUUAGGGUCGUUCCAUACGAGCGAUUGUCGGGGUGGAGUUCAAAGGCGUCAGAUGGAGUUGAAAGGCGUCGAUGGCGGGGAUUGAACGCAAGGGAUGGGCGGAGAGAAUCGCCCGGCAAAGUCCUUAAGGAUCGGCGUUCACCACGCCGACGCGGUCGUAUGGGAACCAGUGUAAGAACGCGCCUUGUUUUCCUUCUCGUUCGGGUCGUACACGCACGCGAACUGCGCGUCGACGGGGGUGAUGAAGUCCGGGGUGAACAUCGGCAUGCCCUGCGACAUGUACGCGGUGUCCAUGCCGCCGCCGCCCUGCGACGGCGCGGCCGCGACCGGCGGCGGCGCGUUCGCGUUCGCGUUCGCGUUAGCGGCGUCCAAAUCUUGCGUGCCGCCGCGCUCGACGCACAUCGCGCUCAUCGCCCGGCUCAGCCCCGGCGUCGGCGCUUGCGCGAGGUCACCGCUCGCGGCGUUCUGCGCGUUCGACGCCUGCUGCGACGACGGCGUGUUGAAGCUCAGCACCGAGCGCUGCUUCAGUCGAAGCCCGAGGUGGCUCAUGAUGGAUGAUGACGUCGCGCGGAAACGAUCACUCCCGUCGUCUUCUUCGCGCGGCGUCGGUGCCAGAUUCCGUCCCGCGGGGGUACCGCGGUUCGCCGCGCGUUCGCGUCCUCGCGCGGCGUCUUCGCGCCGUUCCGGUCGUCCGCGUCGAUUCGAGCGCGUUCGAUGCGCGCGUCGCGCGGCUCGCGCGUGCGAUUCCGACCGUUGACGCGCGCGGCGCGCUCCGUUGUGCGUCCGUUGUGCCGCCCCCCUCGGGGGGAUUCCGACGGACAGCUCCGAGAAACGAGUUCAAAAAUUCCGCCAGUGCAGUGCAGACUGGUAUCGUCGCCGCGCCGCGUCGCGUCGUCGUCCUCGGACGACCCCGCGCCGCGGCACUUCGACGACGCGCGGGGUCAUGUCCGAGGGCGUCCGGAAGCGCGCGAGCGCUUCGUCUUCCGCCGCGGACGCGUCGUCGCCGCCGCCGCCUGCCUCCGCGGACGCGUCGCCGCCGCGCCCUCCCCGCCGCCCGCGCCCGCGGCCAUCGUCGUCGUCGUCCUCCUCCUCCGCGCGCGGCGCCGAAGUCGUCUGCGUCUUCCUCGCCAUCGUCGCCGUCUCCUUCGCGCUGUCGCUGAUCCUCGCGCGGUGGAUGGCGAAGCCGUGGAGCGGGAUCCCCCCGGGCGCGACGUCGGGCGCGACGGACGUCCCCGUGUACGACGACGAGCUGAAGGUGAAGGACGGCGAGAAGAGCGCCGAGCUGUGGCUGGCGAUCGCGGGGGAAGUCUUCGACGUCGGCGCCGGCGCGAAGCACUACGGCCCGGGCGGGAGCUACCACGGCUUCGUCGCGCGCGACGCCACGCGCGCGUUCGUGACGGGGAAAUUCGACGACGACGAGAACCUGCGACCGGGCUUGGACGGGCUCGAGCCGCGCGCGCGCGUCGUCGUGGACGACUGGCUCAAGUUUUACCGCGACGGAAAGACGCACGCGCAUCGAUACCGCCGCGUCGGCGUGCACGCGGGAGGGCUCUACUACGACGUGAACGGCGCGCCGACGAAGCACAAGCUCGAGCUCGUGAAGACCGCGUCGGCGGUUCGGAAGCGCGUGGAGAGAGAAGCGGAGGAGGCGCGGGCGAGGGCGGCGGUGUUUCCAAACUGCGACGCGAGGUGGAGCGCGGAGGCGGGCGGCGAGGUGUGGUGUCCGGAUGGGACGUCGCAUCCGCGGCGAGAGGUGUCGUUCGGGGUGCGCGAGGACGACGGGACGGGGACGGGGCGGAAGACGCGAUGCGCGUGUUUUCCGGACGAGUCGUUCAGCGACGUGAGGCAGCUGUACCCGGGGUGCGAGGCGACCGCGACGCGGUGUAAGACGUCUUAGGGAAGAGCGCACGCGGCGUGGUCUAGUAGUAGACUCUAGCUACUAGUACGAGUAGGCGAUCGAUCUUUUAACGACGAUGGAUGCGAUGGUAACUGUCGAACGGUGUGCGUUUCGAUUAUUAAAAAUUGUUCACUGGAAUGCGUCGCGCGCGCGCUCGCCUCUUUCCUCCCUCCUCUCGCUUCGCGUCUCUGCCGUACGUCUCGUGUAUGUACACUCGUACUCGCGGUCGACGAGAGCGUCCGCCUCGGCGUUCACUCAUCACUCCAUCGCGACGUCGCCAUCCGCGUCCCCGGCGGGCGCGGCCGCCUUGUACUCCUCGAGAUCGUUAUCGAGCGCCGCGGCGUCGCCAGCGCCUUCAUCGCCGCCAUCGCCGCCGCCGCCGCCGCCGCCGCGCUUGGGGAACUUGUCCUUGUUAGGGCAGUCCCUGGCCCAGUGACCGAGCUCGCCGCAGAUGUUGCACUUGUCGUCGGCGCCCGGGCCGCGCGCGCCCGUCUUGCCGUCGUUUCUCGGCUCCGGGCAAUCCCUCGCCCAGUGCCCGGUCUUCCCGCACCGGUUGCACGUGUCGUCGGCGCCGGGCUCGCGGCGCGGCGGGCGCUCGCGGCGCUCGCCGCGGUGGUCCCGGCCGCGGUCGUCGUGAUCGGACCUGAACCGCCCGCCGCCGCCGCCGCGACCGACGUCGAUCCGCGACGGGCAGUCCCGCGCCCAGUGACCGAUCCCGCCGCACUUGUUGCACCUGUCCCCGUCGCCCGGGCCGCCGCCGCGGCCGGCGAAGCCGCGGUCGCUGCGGAAUCCGCCGCCGCCGCCGCCGCCGCCUCUUCCGCCGUUAUCCUCGCGGUCCUCGCGGAUGAGAAUGUUCCGGCCGUUGAGGUCCGUGUCGUUGAGCAUCUCGAUGGCGUUUGCCGCCUCGUCGACUGUGCCCAUCUCCACGAUGCCGCAGCCCUUGCUCCUUCCUCCGGGGCCUUCGGUCAUGAUCUUCGCGUGGAUCACCUCGCCGGCUUGGCGGAAGUGGUCCUUGAGGUCUUGCCAGGACACGCGCCAGGAGAGGUUGUGGACGUAGAGGCGAUUGGUGGAGAUCUCGAUGACUUCUUCUUCGUAGUCGUCGCGGCCGCGAUCGUCGCGGCCGUACGGGUUGUGGCGGCCGCCGCCGCCGCCGCCGCCGCGGGAGGGGCCGCGUCGAUCGUCGUAGCCCAUUUUUAUCGGGUGGAGGUCUGUUGAUCGGAAGGUUUUUUGAGUCAGCAGAGGAACGGCGGGCGGGCGGGCGGCGGCGGCUGGGAGAUAUUAAUCGGAUGGAUCCGUCGUCGCGGUGAUCGGUCGUCGACGAUCGAAGCUCGGGUCGCCGCGCGAUCGAUCGCUCGAUCGCGCGAGAGCACGACGAUCGAUUCCGACGCCGUCGACGCGCGCGCGCGCGCCGCGCGCGAUGCGCGACGCCGUCCGCGACGUUUCGUUUCGCGCGAAGAGACGAUCGUCGCGAGCGGGAUUCGAGCGUCGAUCGCCGCGCGGGCCACGGGGGGCCACGAAUCGGCGACGAUCUGGGAGGAAUCGACGCGCGAGCCACGAUCGCGCGGUGACGCGCGCGAAAACGCGAUCGCGCGGCGCGCCCGCCGCGGCGCGCGCACGCGCGAUGCGCAGAGAGCGGGUGAUGGGAAGGGAGGCGCACCUGGAGGUCGCGCGCGGUGAUCGCGCCGUGUGGUGUGGCCGCCCGCGAGCAGAGCGCGCGAAAACGAUCAUCGCGCCGCGGCAAAAAUAAAAAAAAACGCCAUUUUGCGCGAACAGACCCGUCGAUGAACGUCGAUGAAAGUUGAAACGGAACGCGAUCAAUGUUGAAACCGAGGGGUGGGUGAAUACUGUAACCUUGAACCGUGGAGCGUGCACUCUUGCGCCCUGGUACCUUGGUACGUAAUAAGUUUACGGACUCUCUCGCGACGGCCGCCACUGAUGUCCGCGCUCGCGGGCGCGUUCCACGUCGCCGCCGCGCUUCAAGCGGCGUGCGGGGAAUCCUCCUCACCGCGAGGAGAACGCGCGUCGAGAUCGUGCGCGGGCGGCGCGCGUCGUCGUUCACCGUCGCCGUCGUUCGUCGGCGGAUUCGCGCUCGGCACCGCCGAGAGACGGAAUCGAUCUCUAUCCCUCCCCGCCGCCGCCUCCUCUCGCGUCGAGGCCGCGGUCGACGACGCGCGCCGCUCACUUCGCGCCGCGCGCGUCGCCGCCGCCGCGACCGCCAUCAUGGGAAAGAAAGCGCGACUCGCGUGCGUCGCGUGCGGGGCGUCGUACAAGCGAAAGACCGCGGUCGUCGGCGGCGACGCGAAUCAUCAGAAUCGAUUCUGCGGAACGACGUGCGCGGCGGCGGCGGCGGCGUCGGGGCCGUCGUCCGCGUACGGGGACAUCCCCCCCGCGUCGUUCGCGGACGCGGACGCGCCUGGAGUCUACGCGACAGGCGGCGGCGGCUCGGCCGCGGGCGGGUCGUACGCGUGGGAGCGCGAGACCGGCGGCGGCGUGAAGGGAUCCCCGGGGAAGCGGAAGAAGAAGAAAAAGGGAAAGAAAAAGGCAGCGUCCGACUCCGGCGACCUCGCCGCGCGCCCGGUCGAGGAGUGCCCGCGGUGCCUCGCGGUGCUGAACAUCCUGGACGACACGUGCGACGUGAUAUCCUCCCCCGGGGAGGCCCUCGAUCGCGCGGUGCGCGCCAUCGCGAACGCGCCGGGAAAAGUCAUCGCCGUCGACUGCGAAGGCGUCGCCAUGUCGCGAAUCGGCCGCGUGACGCUCGUGCAGAUCGCGGUCCCGAACGAGAGGGUGUACUUGUUCGACGUCCAAGCGCUCGGGUCCGAGGCGUGCUUCGAGCGCGGCGGCGGCGGCGGCGGCGGAGAGGAGAAGGAUGAGAAUAACGCCACGAAUCGGAGCGUUACGCUCAAGUCGGUGCUCGAGGACGCGUCGAUCACGAAGCUGAUGUUCGACUGCCGCGUGGACUCCGACGCGCUGUAUCACCAGCACGGCAUCGCCCUAAACGGCGUGUUCGACAUCCAGCUCGCGGACGUCGCCGCACGCCGCGCGGCGUCGCAGUCCGUCGCGCUGUUAUCCGGCGUCCCUAAAUGCGCGGCGCGGCAUUUAGGCAAAGGCGCCGCCGCGGAGGCCAACGCGCUCGCGGCGUUCGACGGCGUCGUCGACGCCGCCGCCGGGCCCGACGCCGCCGCCAUCUCGCGCGUGAGCGAACACCUCAAGUCGAAAGUCAAAGCGUCGUUCGCGCCGGACCUAGGCGGGGACGGGACGCUGUGGGCGAGGCGGCCGCUGUCGGCGGACGUCCGGCGGUACGCGGCGUUAGACGCGUGGUUGCUCGUUCGCAUUCACGACGCGAUGGUGAGACUGCUUCCCAUACGACCCCGUUCGCGGGGUGCACGCCGUUCCUUAAGGACUUUUCCCGUCGUCACUCUUCACCCGCGCUUCCCUUUCAACGUUUGACCGGUAAGACGUUCGACUGACCGAUCGCUUCACCCACGCAGUCGGACGCGCGCGCUUUGGACGCGGAGUGGACGCGGCGGGUGACGAGCGCGAGCGAAGGGCGGGUGAGGGAGUACCGCGACCUCGAGGAGCCGGUGUUGCAGUUUCGGAACGUGGAGCGCGCGGUGGCGCCGGAUUUGUAGGUUGGACGCGCGGGCGCGGGCGCGGCGUCGUUCGCAGAGCGUCGCGUCGCGUCGCGUUGCGCGAAAGCGUCGGUCGCGCAAAAGUGUCAUACAAAAGUAGUGUCGCACGAGGAAAGAAGAGGUCUCUCGUCGUCGCACCGCAGUCAGUCGUCGUCGUUCUCGUCGUUCUCGUCGUCGCACUCGAAUCGCGCGUCUUCUCAUCACUUUCCGGCGCGCUCGUACGCCUCCGCGAGCUUGGACUUCAUCCUGAGCCAGUCCGCGUGGGAUAUCCGACCGUCUCCGUCCGUGUCCGCGUCCUUCGCGAGCGCGUCCACGUCCACCUGUCCGAAGGCUCUAAGCAGGUCUUCCUUCUGGAUCGUCUUCCCGUCCCGCGAGAGCGCGUGAAAGUUGUACUUGUUCAUCUCCUCACUCCUCAGCGUCUCUUGCCACAGCGUCGACGGCGCGUUUUCGCCGCCGCGCACGGUGUCGUAGUAGGACCGCUCCGGCGCGACGCUCUGGCGCGUCACCCUCGGGUUCGACCCGGGGUCGAACGUCCCGCGCCACACCGCCUCCGCGCCUUUCGUCGCGCGCGGCGCGGGCGCGGCGGCGGCGGCGGGCGCGGAGGCGGCGGCGGCGGGCGCGGAGGCGGAGGCGGCGGGCGCGUCGUCGCGCGUCGACGACGACGAGGGAGGGAGCGCCGCGCGUCCGAGGGCUAUCGCGGACGCGACGCCGCCGAGCCACGCCGCGGCGACGAUCGCGAUGCCUCUGCCCCAGGACGUCUUAGGGAUCGGCUGCCACAGUUUGCCGAUCGCGGCGGUGUCGUAGUGCGGCGCCUGGUGGGACAUCGGGGAGAGGGGGGAGGAGGCGAGCGGGGGGGGGGGCGCGUGUCGUUGAGGUGUGUCGUUGUUCGCAAAAAAUCCACUGUUCGCGCGGGUCGAGGAAACUGCCAGCUGUGCGCGUCCUCGCGUGAAGUCACUGCACGUCGCACGCCGCGGAACGAAGGCGCGCCGUCCCACAUCAGAAACGAUGCCGAGCGCGAGCGCGUCGUCGCGGUAGUCAGAAGAAGAAGAAGUAGACGAAGGAGAGCGCUCGCGACGCGCGCGACGAGACUCGGUCGCGCCGCGGACGCGACCUCGCGGCCGCGUCGGGUGCCCACAGCAUUUCGAAUCGUCGUGGCUCCGCUCCGCGACGCGGCGGCGAUCGAUCGCGAUGGCGAGCGACGAGCCGACGAUGCGCGACUUCGCGGACCACGUGAUAUGGGGCAGCGCGGUCCGGGAGACGCACGAGUUCUGGGGCGACCCGGACACGAACGGCGGCAUCCGCGCGUCGAUCGAUAGGCCGCUCGGACGCCCCGAGGUGCGCGGCGGCCCUCCUACUCCUCCCCCUCCCUCGUCGCGUCGCGUUCGAAUUCGUCCCGCUCACGUUUCAUCGUUUUGUUCCCCUCGACAGAUGGAACGCCUGUCCGCGUACGGCGGGGCGCACGCCGCGAACGACGACGACCGCGGCGGCGGCGUGAACCUCUCCACGGACGAGCGCGCGUUCCUCUCCGCGCUCGGGCGCGACCGCGCGCUCGUGACCGACCGCGCGCGCAUGGCGUCCGUCGCGCGCGCGCUCGCGCUCGGCGGCGACGCGCCGACCCGACCGCGACUUCAUCAUCAUCAUCAUCGCGGCGGCGCGCGCCCGUCCACCGCCGCGGCGGCGCGCUCCGCGCCCGUCACGCCGGCGCGCCCGUCCACCUCCGCGGGGUGGUACGGUGACGGAAACGGAAACGACGACGGAAACGAGCUCAGCGCGCUGAGCCCGCUGCCGCGCGCGAGGAAAGACUUUCUGAGGAAAGGCGAGGGGCGGCGCGGCGACGGCGGCGGGACGGCGUCGGCGUCGGCGUCGGCGCGGUCCUCCCCGGCGGCGGCGGGCGGCGGGUCGAGGUCGAGGCGGCCGGCGACGGCGUCGGCGAACGCCGCGCGGAGGAGCGUGGAAGGGUCGCCGCUCCGGCCGAGGUCCGCGCGCGCGGUCACGUUCGCCCCGGGCGGCGGCGGCGGAGGAGGCGGCGGCGUUCGGAGGAGCGUCGAGCGUUUGAGCUCGACGACGACGACGACGCGACGUAUCGAACCGCCGCGCGCCGCGCUGAGAGCGUCAUCCCGCCGCGGGUUAAAAUUCGGCGGCCCCGGCGGCGGCGGCGGCGCCGGGAACGGCCGAAGAGGGCACUUCGACCCGCGCGCGUCGUGGGACUCGUGGGACGGAGGAGGAUCGCUUCGGUCCUCCGUCGACCGCGACCGCGAGAGAGAGAGAGACAGAGAAGAAACGGAGAAGGAAAAGGAGAACGACGACCGCGCGAGCCCGAGCCCGAUGAAGAAGAGCCCUCUGAAGAGCGCGAUGCGAAGAAGCCCCGCGUCGUCGCCGGCGGCGCCGCCGCCGCGGUCGACGUCGCCGACGCGGCCGACGCGUCGCGUCGACGCGGCGGCGGCGGCCGCGGCGAAGGAUCUCGCCGACGGCGGCGGCGGCGUCGGCGCGACGACGACGCGACUCAGCGCGGACGAGCGCGGGUUCUUACUGCAGCUCGCGAAGGAGCGCGCGCUCGUGAGCGACCGCGUGCGCGUCGCGGAGGCGCUGCAGACGAUGUCGUUGUCGCGCGCGCCGCCGUCCGACGCGAAUCCGAUCACGCGACAGCCAAUCAAGGAGCGGGGGGAUUCAGGAGCGACCAAUCGGAUGACGCCGGAGGAGAUCGCGAUGAAGUGGAAGGACACGGAGCGGCCGCACACGGCGUCCGCGUCGACGCCGUUGGUGCGGGCGCGGUGGCACCCGACGGGCGCGAAGAAGACGGCGGCGGUGACGAACUCUCCGCCCGGCGGCGGCUCCGUCGCCGCUCCGUCGACGCCGUCGGAGCGCGGCGCGCGGCCGACGACGGCGCCGGCGCGAGGCGAAGGCCGUCGCGCGCACGACGCGCGAUGGGACGACCCGGAGACGGACGCGGCGGUGAUCAAGCAGCGCUCGGAGGCGUCGUUUCGGAGGAUGAUCGAGCGGAGAGAGGAUACGCUCGAAGCCGUCGCGGAGGCGGAGCGGCGCGCGAUCGAGGUCGAGGAAGCCGCCGCGGCCGCGGUGGGGGAGGCUGAGGAGGAGCUGUCGCUGCGGCCGAGGUCGAAUUCCGCGACGCCGCCGGGCGGGAACUCGCCCGCGCCCGCCCCGGGGCCGAAGCACGGGCGGCGCGCGGUCGGGCGGCGACCGGCGCCGGCGGCGGCGGCGGAGCCGGCGUCGUCGUCGUCGCCGCCGCCGAGCGUCCGCGACUCGACGCGGGCGAAAGCGGGGAAAGCGCUCGCGGAGUGGGCGUUCGAGGAGAAGUGGCAGUGGGACUGGCAGCAGACCCUGGACGCGGAGCUGUCCCCCGGAGCGGCGCCGUUGCGAGCGUCGACGGUGGCGGAGACGAGGACGUAUCGAGACAGGCGAAUCGCGCGGCGGUUGGCGCGCGAGAGCAUCGACGCGGAGGCGGAGGAUGGGAGCGAGAAGAAGUCCGAGAUUGAGACCGAGACCGAGAGCGCGAGCGCGAGCGCGCCGCCGCCGGCGGCGGAGGCGCCGCCGUCGUCCACGGGCGCGAUCGUGUUCGACGACGACGACGUCAGCGAAGAGGAGCUCCCGCCGGAGACUUCAACGGCCGCCGCCGCCGCCGCCGCCGCCGCCGCAGAAAAAGACGCGGAGGACGACGACGACGACGCCGCGGAUAUCCCCACGGAGCUCAGCGACAGCGACGGCGACGGGAACGACGACGACUUGUUCACGAAGAUCAUACGUAGUGGGGGCACGCCGGAUAAGCGGCCGCGGCGGCCGUGGCCCGAGCAUCGAACGUCGCCGCUGCCCUUGCGCGUCGUCGACGUCGACGCGAUUCGCGAGGUGGAGAGUUUGCCGGCGGUGUAGCAGCAGAGACGGAUUGAUUUAACAUUCGGAGGCACAGAUCGACGCGCGCCCCCCCACGCGCGCGCGCGCUUCUCGUUCGUCUCUUCGCGAUGAAGCGCGUUUCCCUGCGCGCGAGAUCGCUUCAUCUUCUUCUUCUGCUCACGUUCCUCGCGGGGUUCGCGUCGACGCGCGCGCACGCCGCGGGCGAAGAAGACGCGAGCGCGACCCCCGCCGCGGACGAAUCGUCGUCGCCCACCGCGGACGAAUCGUCGAGUCCGCGGCGUCAUCGCGUCAUGCUCGCGACGCCGUGCUACGGCGGGCACAUCACGGACGCGUUCCACCUCUCCGUGAUCCGCGCGUACGAGCACUACGCCGCGUCGGACGCGGUGUCGCUCGUGUCCGCGACCGUCCCCGGGAUCGCCGACCUCCCGAAAGCGCGAGGCGCGCUCGUCGCGCAGUUCCUCCGCGAUCCGUCGCUCACGCACCUGCUCUUCGUCGACGCGGACGUCGCGUUCGCGCCGGAGCUCAUCCAGCGGUUCGCGGAGUCGAAUCACGACGUCGUCGCGGGGAUGUACCCGAAGAAAGGGAUCGACUGGGGUCGCCUCGCGUCGCGCCUCUCCGAGCCGCGCGGCGACGCCGACGCCGCCGCAAACGCCGCCGUCGACGAGACGACGCUUCUGCGCGCGGCGUCGCACGAUUACCCCCUCGAGUUCGAGCACGAGACCGACCCGAUCGCCGGCGGCGAGGUCGGGACGUUGCACAUCGACGACGACGGCUUCGCGAGGGUCGGUCGCGCGCCCACGGGGUUCACGAUGGUGUCCAGGAGAGCGUUGCGCAUGAUGGUCGAGGCGUAUGGGGAACGGCUGGCGUAUCUGGAUCCGGGCACCGGCGCGACGCACUACGCGUUCUUUCACCCGCUGUUCAAGGAGAACGACGGGGAAGACGGGGGGGAUGAAGCGAAGACGACGCGGCACUUCGUCAGCGAGGACUUUUCGUUCUGCGACCGGUGGAGGAACGUGACCGGGAACGACGGCGUGUGGGUGGACACCGUCGGGUGGGUCGAUCACGUGGUGUCGCCGGGCGUGAUUUUCUCGGGGGAGGCGUGGUUGCGGCGGUUCACGUUGGGUGGUGGGGGUGGUGGGGGUGGGGGUGGCGGGGGUGGGAGUGGUGGGGGUGGGGGUAGAGAGGAGCUGUGAGAGCGCGCGUGCGUGUCGUAGCUUUCGUCGUUAUUCGAAUCGUGACGUCGUCGCCUACUUUAUGCCACAGGUUGGUUGAGUUCGCGGAGCCUGUUUAUCGAUUCAGCGAAGCCCUUCUCCGCGGCCUUCGUAAACCACUCGAUGGCCUUGGGGAUGUCCUUCGUCACGCCUCUUCCAAGUUUGUAGCAUAAUCCGAUGUUAUGCUCUGCCAUGACUUCGCCUCGAAUGGCCGCUUGUGAGAACCACGGGAACGCCUCCUUGUAUCGUCCUGCUUCGUAGUGGAGAGUGCCGAUACUGUUUAGUGCGGAGACGUGACCCUUAUCGGCCGCCUUUGUGAACCAUUCGAUCGCCGUGUCGAUGUUUUUCUCCACGCCUCGGCCGCUCUUGUAGAGACGACCUAUAUUGAACUCACAAGUUGCAACCUUGAAGUGCCCCCUUCUCCCACCACUCCAGCGCCUUCUCGUAACGCUUCGCUUUGUUGUCGUAGACGCUCCCGAGGUUGCACUGGUCUUUGCUGUUGGACAAGUCAGCCCCGGCCUGUUCGAGAAGGUUGUGAAAGCGCGCCUCGGGCAGAUCGAGCACGCCUUUAAUCCCAAGGACGUAGGCGCACAUCGUGGUCCACGAUUUAUCCUCCAGCAACUUGUCCGGACAACCCGUGAAGUCGAGCGAGGCCGGCAGAGAAGACGCGUGCUUCGAAGCGUUGCGCCACACCGUGUUCACCCGCGAAAGAGCGAGGCGCGUGUGCACGUCCGACACGUGCGAUAAGACGACGCUCGCGAUGUCCUCGUUCGCGUGAAACGUCGGCGGCUUCACGAUUCUCAGAACCUCAUCGAGCGUCUUCCGCGUCUCCGCCCGGCUGCUCUCGAGCUCCGCCCUGACGUGUUUGAGUUCUUCUUUGAGCUCGUCGAACCGCGCUAAAAGGAGGCCGAGGACGCCGCCGCCCGGGGCGCUCUCGUCGACGUCCGCGCUCGGCGUUUCGCGCGCGGGCGGAGCGACGCGACCGCGCCUAGAUCCUUUCGCCAUGACGCCCUCGGGUGAACGCGAGCGUGCGGCAGCGCGGGUGGAAGUGGCGGCGGCGGGGACUUCGUUCGCUCCGAGGAAACUCGAGGCAGUGACUGCUGCAGCCAGGCGUGAAAACGCGAGCGAGUCCGCGUCCGUCCAGCUGUGCGUUCAAAGCGAAAGGGCGACCCUUCCGCGUCCUCACUCUCGGCAGCCCUCGGCAGGUUCCCCGCCGCGGAACGAGCAUCAUGUCGGUCAUGUCCAACGCCACGCGGGUGACGCGCCUGUACAGGUGCGCGCGCGCGCGUCGUCCGCGCCCGCGCGCCGUCGCCUUCGCCCAUCGCGCGCGGGUCGCGGCGAAAUAGGGUUUUUUUUCCCCCCCUCCGACCCUCUCACAUCCUGACGCCCGAUCCUCGCCCCGCGUCUCCUCGUCCUCUCGUCAGGCAUUCCCUGAAGACGUGCCUGAGCUGGGCGGUCAUGCGCGACGUGUUCUACCCCGAGCGCGACCGCAUCCGCGCGAUGUUCGAGAAGAACAAAUCGCUGAGAGAUCCCGGGGCGAUCGAGCGCGCGAUCGAGGAUGGCGAGAAGACGCUCGACGGGUACGCGCAUCCGGACCCGUACACGGUGCCGUCGUCGUACGGCGGGAGCAAAUACGCGCGGAACCCGCCGCCGCCGGGGAUCGAGAUCUUGUACGACUUUGGGAGAGAGCGGGGGACGACCCCGGGGCCGGACGGGCACUAUCGGUAGGCUGGGUGUUGCGACGCGGAGGGACGCGGGGGGCGAUCGAUCUAGCCGAGAGACAGGAUCGAUCGCUUCUCGCCGCUCUAAACGCGCCGCGUCGCGUCGUAAUGUAAUAUCAUUCUAGGGGGGUACCCUUAAACCUUAACGCCUACUUCUUCUUCUUCGCCUUCUUGGCGUCGCCGCCGCCCCCCCCGCCGUCGUCGCCGGACCGCUUCGCGCCCUCCCCCCCCACCUCCGCCGCCGCCGACCUCUUCGGCACGUACGCGGCGAGCCACUCGUUGCGCCGAAUCACGUCCCCGACCCCCGCGAGCUCCGGCGUCGCGUACGCGAACGGAUUCCUCGCCAUCCCGACGAGCUCGUACCCGAAGACGUCCUCCAUCGCCUCCUGCUCGUAGCUCACGUCUACUCGCGUCGGGUUGGACGUCAGAAGCGGGCACCCGGCGCGUCGCGCGGCGCGCACCGCGCCGGCGGCGGCGCCGAUGACGUUCAACUUUUCCUCCGUCGUCUCCGACGCGUCUUCCUCCUCCUCCUCCUCCUCUUCGCCGCGGAGCGUCGCCCACGCGUUCGCGAUGUUCAAACCGACGCCGAAGACGAGACACGGGCCGCGCGCGGCCGCGGCGGCGUGCGUUUCGUAACUCUCUGCGAAUCGCUUCACGCUCGGCGUGUGGGAAGACCCGGCGAAACCGUACUCGUUCGCCAUCUCAUUCGCGGCGACGCCCUCGCCGAUCAGGCUGACGUCCACGCCCGGCUUGUCCAACGCCGCGCCCGCGCCGAGGAGCCACCACACGUCGGACGGCGCGUCGAGCGCGUGCGCGUCCGCGUCUGGGCCGCACACCACGUGGAGCGCCGCCGGCUCCGUCGGCGAUUCCGAUUCGUUCGCGUCGCCGCCGUCGCCGCCGCCGUCGUCGUCGUCGUCGACGCGGUGCCCGCUCACGCCGAGCAUGAGCGCGUACUUCACGACCGGGAACAGCCACGACGCGGCGACGACGGAGAGCGGGUAGCUCGCCGUGGACGCGAAGUCGUUCAGCGUCUUCGCCGUCUUCGCCGCCGCCGCGUUCGCCGCCAGCCGCGCGUCGUCGUCCGCGGUCGCCGCCUCCGCCGACUUUGGGACGACGACGUGCGCGUUCCCUCGCUCCGCGAGCUUCAACACCGCGCCCCAGCGGCUCGCGCACGCGUCCGCGUCGAUCCGCUCGCUGUCGCGCUCGCCGUACCCUCUCGGGCCAAGGAUGUGCGACGUCCCGGUCUUCCCGAGGAGCUUGACGUUCUUCACGCACGCCCUCGCGGACGCGGCGGCGGCGGCGCGGGCGUCGAUCGCGUCCAUCUCGACCGCGGCGAGACGCGAGGCGAACGACGCGAGCGCGCAUAUCGGCGCGUGCGUCGCCGCGUCCUUCUCGAGGCACGCCUCGCCGCAGUACUUGACGACGUCGCAUCGCUCGCACGCGGACGGGGCCGCCGCGAACGACGCCGCGCACACGGCGCAGCAGUUGACGCCGAGCGCCGGUCCCCCGCCGUCGCGCGCCGACGCGUCCCAUCCGCGCAGGCGCUCGACCGCGGCGUCGUCGAGAUACUCGGGGGGCGCGGGGAGCGGAUCGACGCAGGACACGCGCACGAGAGUCUCGCGCGUGAGCGACCAGUCCGUCGCGGCCGACAUCGUGGGAGGCGGCGUCGUGGAGUGCGCCGUCGCCGCCGACGCCGCCGCGCUUUUCGCGUCACGAUCGAUCGAUGAACUCGUUUUGUCGUUAUUGAGUUGGGGUCGCUAAUUCGAGGCGUCUACACUCGAGCGCGCACGUCGUCGGGUAGGCACGCUCGUCGUCGUUCGACGCGUCGCGCGUCCUAGUCGACGUCUCGGAGCGAGCGCGCGUCGCGCGCGCGCGUCGUCGCGAACCCGACGCGGCGGCGACCCCGCCGGCUUGCCUCCUACCAGUCGGGGAGCGCCCCGCCCCGUCGGAUUCUAAAAGGAGAUCGAAGCAUCUAAGCUUCGCGACGACGCCGGCGGUCGCCAUGGACACGGAGACGAUCCUCAUGAACCACCGCCCGCCCGAGGAGCCGGACAAGCAGACGAUGUCGAUCGAGGCGCUCAUGGAGGGCUGCCCCGCGGCGUUCAUCGACUUUUACUACCUCACCACCGCGGGCGACGGCGUCGCGGACGAUCAGCCCAGCGCGGCGCAGGUCGCCGCGCGGCUCGCCGCGGGGCAGGCGGCCGACGCGCUCGACGCGAAGAAGAUCGAGGAGUUCAUCGACGACGAGGUCGAUCCGGAGCACAUGCCGUUCGUCCGCGACGCGCUCGUGCACGCGGAGAGCAGCGCGAGGGAGGGCGACGACGCGGGCACGCAGGAUGCCUUUCGAUCCAUCGCGGAGUUUUUCUUGAAAGUCGGCGACCCGCGCAAGGGCAUCUUCUUCUACGAGAAGCGCCUCAAAGCCGCGAGGAAGGCGAAAGACCCCGCCGCGGAGAUGGUCGCGGACGGCGACCUCGGUAGGGUGUACGAGUCCAUGGGCGACAUCCCGCACGCGAUCGCGGCGUACGAGCGACUCGUCGCCGUCGCCGCCGCCGACGGCUCCCGCGACGACGUCUCUUCCUCGCGAAGGCAUCUCAUUCGCGCCUACAACGCCGCCGCGGACGCGAAGACGCGCGAGGGCGACGGCGACGGCGCGGUGCGCUUCCUCACGAGCGCGCUGGACGUCGCGAGGAAGGAGGGCGAGAGCGACGGCGGCGUGCUCUUGGAGGCGGACGCGAACUACCGGUUGGGACUCGCGCUCGCGAGGAUCGGCGAGCACGCCGCGGCGUUGGAACGCCAGGACGACCACCUGACACUGUGUGCGCGGAAAGCCUCCCCCGUCGACGCGGUGGGCGCGGGGAAGGCGCGACGCGCGCUCGCGGCGUCGCGGCUCGCGAUGCGCGACGCCGCGAUCGCGAGCGGCGAGACGGCGGCGGCGGAAGCGCAUCAGAGGGAAGCGGCGCGAUGCCUCGAGUUUUUUCUGGACGGGGAGCCGCCGGAUAACGGCGGCGGCGGCGGCGGCGGGAUGAGCGCGAUCCUCCUCGCGAAAGCGCGCGAGGCGGAGACGGAGGAGGAGAGCGGAGGCAAGGGCGUCGUGAGGGACCCGGGCGCGGACGCGCGGGCGUGGUGCACGCUCGGGAAGAUUCGAAGCGCGGAGGGCGAACACGCCAAGGCGGCGAGUUGUUUCGAAAAGUUUUUUGAGCUCGCGCGCGGGCUGAGCGACCAGCGGUUGCUCGACGUCGCGCGGAUAAACCUCGGGAUCGCGCGCGGGAAGGUGAAGCAAGAGAAGUUCAUGAGCACGGUGCUUCACGCGGGGGAGGAUGGCACGAAGGAAGGGAGCGAGGCGUUGGGGAACUUGUUGAGCUGGAAAGUCGCGCGCGCGUGACGACGGGAGGCGACGGUCCGUCGCGGACGACGCGUUCCUCCUCCUCCUCCUCCUCCUCCCAUCGUAGCGCACACUAGCAGCGGUCGCUCGCUCGCGUCUGAUAGCAUUGGAUUCGCACGAUGCGCCUAAGACAAACAAACUACUCGUGUUCUCUGCUGUCAUCUAUCUCACCGUGGCGAACUGCCCAAACUCCGGGGUCGCGAAGGAUAUCCCGCGUCCCAUCAACGCCGUCGGGUCCGUCCGCGGUCCGAAUAUCUUCAUCUGCCUCACGUGCGUGUCCCUUCCGUUCUGGUGGUUCGAUAACACCGCGAUCUGAAGAAAGAACGCGCGCAGGCAUUCGCCGUCGUCGCCGCCGCCGCCGUCGUCGCCGUNNNNNNNNNNNNNNNNNNNNNNNNNNNNNNNNNNNNNNNNNNNNNNNNNNNNNNNNNNNNNNNNNNNNNNNNNNNNNNNNNNNNNNNNNNNNNNNNNNNNCUCAUUCGCGCCUACAACGCCGCCGCGGACGCGAAGACGCGCGAGGGCGACGGCGACGGCGCGGUGCGCUUCCUCACGAGCGCGCUGGACGUCGCGAGGAAGGAGGGCGAGAGCGACGGCGGCGUGCUCUUGGAGGCGGACGCGAACUACCGGUUGGGACUCGCGCUCGCGAGGAUCGGCGAGCACGCCGCGGCGUUGGAACGCCAGGACGACCACCUGACACUGUGUGCGCGGAAAGCCUCCCCCGUCGACGCGGUGGGCGCGGGGAAGGCGCGACGCGCGCUCGCGGCGUCGCGGCUCGCGAUGCGCGACGCCGCGAUCGCGAGCGGCGAGACGGCGGCGGCGGAAGCGCAUCAGAGGGAAGCGGCGCGAUGCCUCGAGUUUUUUCUGGACGGGGAGCCGCCGGAUAACGGCGGCGGCGGCGGCGGCGGGAUGAGCGCGAUCCUCCUCGCGAAAGCGCGCGAGGCGGAGACGGAGGAGGAGAGCGGAGGCAAGGGCGUCGUGAGGGACCCGGGCGCGGACGCGCGGGCGUGGUGCACGCUCGGGAAGAUUCGAAGCGCGGAGGGCGAACACGCCAAGGCGGCGAGUUGUUUCGAAAAGUUUUUUGAGCUCGCGCGCGGGCUGAGCGACCAGUGGUUGCUCGACGUCGCGCGGAUAAACCUCGGGAUCGCGCGCGGGAAGGUGAAGCAAGAGAAGUUCAUGAGCACGGUGCUUCACGCGGGGGAGGAUGGCACGAAGGAAGGGAGCGAGGCGUUGGGGAACUUGUUGAGCUGGAAAGUCGCGCGCGCGUGACGACGGGAGGCGACGGUCCGUCGCGGACGACGCGUUCCUCCUCCUCCUCCUCCUCCUCCCAUCGUAGCGCACACUAGCAGCGGUCGCUCGCUCGCGUCUGAUAGCAUUGGAUUCGCACGAUGCGCCUAAGACAAACAAACUACUCGUGUUCUCUGCUGUCAUCUAUCUCACCGUGGCGAACUGCCCAAACUCCGGGGUCGCGAAGGAUAUCCCGCGUCCCAUCAACGCCGUCGGGUCCGUCCGCGGUCCGAAUAUCUUCAUCUGCCUCACGUGCGUGUCCCUUCCGUUCUGGUGGUUCGAUAACACCGCGAUCUGAAGAAAGAACGCGCGCAGGCAUUCGCCGUCGUCGCCGCCGCCGCCGUCGUCGCCGUCCCCCCCCACCCCCCCCCCGCCGCCGCCGCCCGAAUCGUCUUUCGCGAGAGACACGUGCAUCCACCCCCCCGGCUCCUCCAAGUCCACGACCUUGAUCUCCCGCAGGUCGUGGAACGAGUUCCCCGCCCUGAUGCUAAUCUUCGACGGCGUGUACGACUCGUCGAGCGCGUACUUGGCGUACAGCGCGAGCUCGCGCAGGCGAACCUUCUUUUGAAACUGCACGUUGACGAGGUGGGGCUGCGCGCCGUCCGAUUGCCAGUACGUGUCCAGGCAGUCGUCGCGCAGGAGCUCGACGCCGUUCCCAGGCUUCGCGGACGUCACGGACCACACCGCGAGCUUGCCGAUCUCGCUGUGCCCGGGGCGCGCGAUGCCGUCGCGCUGCUCCGCUUUCGCGCCCACUUUCGCUGCGACGACGGCGGAGGGAUGAUGACCGUCGGCGGACGAAGAGAAGAGGUGGAGGAAAAAAAAGGCAUCGGACGACGGGUGCCGAGAUCUCGCGCGGGGCGCGCGGCGACGCCGUGCGCGACGCGGGGGACGGCGCGCGAGGGCGAGAGUGGGGGCGGUGACGUGCGACGCACCCUUCGGCGCCGCGGCGACUUGCGCGUCCGCCGCCAUCCCGUCGGGAGCGCGCGCGGAGGGAAGUGGCGCCCCGGGCGAAAAAGCUCUCGGCUGCGUUCGGUUCGUUUGAACGCCACGAGAAAAAAACUCCGACUCACUUCCCCCCGCACCCGCCACGCUCCCUUCUUCGCGCGCGCCAUCACAUCAUGAAGACCCGCGCCGCUUCGAUCCGCGACCGCGUCGGUCCGUUCGACGACAUCUCCGAGGAUCUCGCGUGCCUCGUGCUCGCGCGCGUCGACGACGUGAAGUCCAGAUACGCGCUCGCCGCGACUUCGAAAGUGUGGAAGGACGCGUCGACGCGAGAGGAGAGCCUUCCCCCCGCGGACGUCAUGAUAGGCUUCGCUCGCGAGUGCGAAGGCGCGGAAGAGACCGUCGAAUGGUUGAAAAAAGCCACCGCGAAGUGCAGCCCGGAAGCGACGUACCGCCUCGGUAUGGUGUACUUGCACGGCGAAAGCUUCCCCGACGGGUUCUACAAAAAAUACUCGAACCCUCUUGUCGGGUUCGAACUCGUGAGAGCGUCCGCAGAGGCGGGGUUCGAGCGCGCCGUGCACCACGUCGGCGUAUGCUACCUGUGGGGUAUCGGCGUGGAAGAGGACAAAUGGAUGGCAACGCAGUGGUUUCUGAAACUAGGGACGGCGCUCCAAGGCAAGGGUGUGUACGAGCUCGGUACUCUGCUCUUACGCGGCGAAGGCGGCUUCACGAAAAAUCACCAGUUGGGGUGGAGGCUGUAUAAGGAGGCCGCGAAGCUGGGAUGCGCGGACGCCGCGUGCGAGCUCGGGAUCUGCUACUGGUACGGUAGUUACUAUCAAGUUAACCGUACAAAGGCGGAAGAGUAUCUCCUAUUCGCGGCGAAAAACGGAAGCUGCGAAGCAGCCUUGGUGGCGGAAGAACUCGGGCUCUGCGACGGCGACGUCAUGGCCCAGUGCGAAGCGGCGCUCAAGGCGUCGACCGCGUGGGGGAAGCUUUGAGAACGACGACGACGACGACGGCGACAACAACUCACAUGUUGUUUACACCUACACGCGCGCAUCUAAACAACGUCACACUACGCAUCAAAGCAUCACAUCGUCGUAUCGUACAUCGACAUCCCCCGCCCCCCGAGGAUGUUUCGGUUAUUCUUUAUUCGUCGUCGUCGUCCUCCACCUCCAAGUUCUCCUCUUCGGCGUCGCGGCCGCGCGCCGCCAACCGCUCUUGCAUCGACACCGUCGUCUGCCGCAGCCGCAGGUACUGCUCGCGCGCCUCUUGCGACUUCACGAUGGCUUGGAUGCGCGACACCGCCUGCUUGACGUCCUGGUGGUUCACACCUUCCUCCUCCUCCUCCUCGUCGUCGUCGUCGUCGUCGUCGUCGUCGUCGUCGCUCUUCGCCUUGGUCGCGUACUUCCCUCUCGCGCCGAUGGCGCGCGGAUUGUAUGCCCCGGCGACGACGUCGACGUCUUCCUCCUCCUCCUCGUCGUCGUCUUCCAUGUCGUCGUCGAUGGUGUCGUCGACGUCGCCGUUGACGUCGCCGUUGACGUCGAACGCGCCCGCGUCCGCGUCCGGCGCUCGGAUCGGGCUCUUCUUCAUCGGCGACUUCGCGGGCGAGCCGUCGCGCGGCGUCGUCGGGUUCGAGCCGCCGCCGCCGCCGCCGCCUCUGACGUGCCGUGUGAGAUCCCCGGAGGAGAGACGCGCGAGACCCCACUGCUGCGCGAGGUGCGACGACGACACGAGCUGCAUGAUGUCCCCGGCCGGGUGCCGCCGCCGCGACGCGUUGGCGCGCGACUGCAUCGUGUUGUACCGCCGUUGCAUCUGCGCGCCGCGGAGGGUGCCCUGCAACGCGAUGAUGCGCUCUUGGAGCUGCGAAAUCGUCGACGCCGGUCGACGGUCCGCCGCCGCCGGCGGCGCCGGUGGCGCGACGUCCGCCGCCGCCGCCGUCGCGACGUCGCUACGGCGGCCUCGCUUCCCGAGAUCGACCGCCUGCGUCUUCGAUCCGGGCCCGUCGCCGCCGCCGCCGCCCGCGUUCGACGUCUUGCUCUGCUGCAAACUUCGAAGCGACGACGUGAUCUUCUGGGCGGCUUUUUCCGCCUUCUUCACCACCUUUUUCACGUCGCGAUCGCUGUCGUGCUCCGCAACGAGACCCGGCUCCUCUCCCUCCUUGACCGGCCCCAAGGACCCGUCCGUCCUCCUUCGAAGCUUCCGCCGUCGCAUCGCGUCUUUUCGGUACGCCAACGACGUGAUCAUCUCCGGGUGCGUCAUGAGACCCUUCGUGUCGUUUCCGCCGCCGCCGCCGCCGCCGCCGCCGCCCUCCGCCUCCGUCUCCAGCUCCGUGUGGCUCGUAAAGUCCGUCGCGGUGACUUCCGUCUCCGUCGCGAGCAGCAACCGCACGGGCGCGAUCGGCGGUUUCGCCAGCCGCCCGCGCCGCGCCGCCGCCACGGGCGUCGGCACGUCCGACACCAUCGGCGUCGUGACCCCUCCGAGCCCCAGCGGUCCGCCGACGGCGCCCGCGGACGGCGCGCCCCCCGCGAACGCCGCCGCGUCUCUGGGAUGCGCCGCCUUCUUCGCCUUCCACGGCACCCUCAACUGCGACCCGGCGUUUCCUAGCAUCGGCCCGUGCCGACGCGCCGCGGUCGGGCCGCCGUACAGCGAAAUGUUCGAGAGGCUCGCCGCCAGAGACGUCUCAGGGUCGUUCCAUACGAAGCGAAGUCGGGGUGGAGUUGAAAGGCGUCAGAAGCGGAAUUGAAAGGCGUCGAGGUCGGGGAUUGAAAGCGUGGGACCCUGGGCGGAGAGAUGCGCCGGGAAAAGUCCUUAAGGAUCGGCGUUCACCACGGCGACGGGGUCGUAUGGGAACCAGUGUGUAGAACGCACCUCAGAGAUGUACGCUGCGAUGCCGCCGUGGCCGAGCGCGGCUGCGAGGUCCGCGGCGGUGUACCCGCCCGCGCCCCACCGCGCGGUCGCGCGGAUGUUCGCACCCUCCGCGAGCAAACACGCGACGGUGUCUUCGUGGCCUUUCGCGGCGGCCCAGUGCAACGCCGUUCGCGCGCGUCGGUCCGGUUGGUUCACCUCGCAGCCGGUGCGAACCAUCGCUGGAAUCGCCCAGCUCAUCCCGAGCGCGGCGACGCAGUGGAUUAAACCCAUCCCGCCGCUGUCUAUGCGGUGAUACGCGCUUCGAGGGAGCACGUACCCGGGGUUAGGGACGACGCCGGUCGUCACGACGCGGUGACGCUUCGCUUCCGCGGAGAUGGCGUGGCGCAGGCGCGCCUCGAGCGCGGUUUUAAACACGCGCGAGACGUCCUCGUCGGUGAGGUCGUCGGCGGCGCCCGGAGAGGCGGAGAAGAGCGACGCCAGCGGGUCCGCGAGGGACGUCCCGGGGGACGCGAGCGCGGCGACGGAUUUGCGCGCGAACGACGCGCCCGGGUUCGGGUUCGGGCUCGGGUUCGCGGGCGCGGGCGUGAUGUUCGCCGAGGCGCCGGGCGCGCCGCCGCCGUCGUUGCUGCUGCCGCCGCUGCCGCUGCCGCCGCCGCUGCCGCCGUUGCCGCCGCCGCCGCCGGCGGCGCUGUCGUUGCCGCCGCCAGAUCCGGAUCCGCCGCCACCGCCGCCACCGCCGCUGCCGCCGCCACCGCCGCCGCCACCGCCGCCGCCGGCGCUGCUUCGGUCCCUCACCGAGCUCCUGUCCGCGCCGAUGAGCAAGUGCACGAGCCGCAGCUGGAAAUCCCGCUCGGUGACGCCCGUCGUGAGGCGCACCUCCGCGGUCCGUCGAUCCUUCGCGCCGCCGCCGGAGGUUUCCUUGUACUCGAACGUGCGGAUGUCCGACGCCGGGCGCUUCCCGCCGCCGAGGCACGAGAUGUACAAGGGCACGCGCCCCGCGCUGCGCGGCGGCGCGCGGCAUCGCAGCACCCCCGGCGAGAUUUGCUCCGCGGGAACUUCGAUCUCGCCGAACACGCAGCACAGGUGCAGCCCCUCCGGAAGCCCAGGGCGCGCGGCGCCGGAGAUGAUCACCUUCGCGCCGCCGCUCUCGACGUCCCACUCCGGAGAGAAGUCGUGAAUCUCCCACAAGAUCGACGACGUGGGCGGGACGGUGACGAUCGGCGCGCGCGCGCGCGCGGACCGCUGCGCGAAUUGCGCCGCUUGCGCCGACGACGCGCGCAUCGCCGCCGCCGCCAUCCCCGGGGACGGCGCGCGGUCGUCCGCGUCGGUCGCGCCGUCGUCCAUCUCCGAGCCGCUCUGCGACACGCCGCGCGCCGUGGACGCGAUCGGCACGGGCGGCGCCGCGUGCCUGGGCGGGUAGCUUCGUCGGUUCGCCGCGCCGCCGGGCCGUCGCGUCGCCGCCGCCGCGCUCUUCAACGGCGACAGCAAGCCCUCGUGGGGGUCCUCGCCGUCGUCCCCAGAUUUCUCCGCGUCGUCGUCGUCGUCGUCGUCCUCUUCGUCCGCGCCGCCGCUAUCGCCGCCGUCGUCGUCCGCGUCCCAUCGCAUCGGCGGCGGUUUUCUCUGCGCGACCGCUCUGUGCCCGCCGCCGCCGCCGCCGUCGAACGACCGUCCGCGGCGGUGGUGCUCGGCUGAACGUCGGGGUGGAGUUGAAAGGCGUCAGUCGGAGUUGAAAGGCGUCGAAGGCGGGGAUUGAAACCGAGGGGUGGGCGGAGAGAGACGCCGGCAAAAGUCCUUAAGGAUCGGCGUUCACCACGCCGACGCGGUCGUAUGGGGACUAGUGUAACCAGAACGCACCGCCGUCUCCUCCUCGCCCGAACAGCUUCCUGCUUCCCCGCCCGGGCCCGCCGCCGCCGCUCCCGCCACCGGUUCCGGACCCGCUCCCGAUCGCGCGUGGCAUCAUCGCCUCCGCGCCGCGCUCGAGCGCGAUGAGGUCCUCCUCCAGACGCGCCACCUGCUCGACGUUCGUGUGCACCGCGUUGGACGCGACGCGAAGCAACGUCUGCUGAAGAUCGGCGAUUUUUCCUUCGAUCUGCGUCAACGACGUCACCCCGCGCAUCGCGCUCGAGCGGUCGGCCCCGCGCCCGGACAGGUCGUCCGCGGACGACGAAGGCGCUGGGGUCGGGGAUAAGAACGACGUCGUGAUGUCCGGCCCCGCGGCGGCGGCAGCCUCCGCCGCCGCCGCCGCGAGCGGGUGCGGCGGCGGCGCUUGGCCGUGGCCGGGCGCGCCGACGCCAAGGCUGCCGGCGAUCGUUCCGCUGUGCACGCUGUCCUCCCCGGGCGCGGACGGCAGCCCGGUGAGACCGCUCACGCUCAGGCUCAGCCCGGAGUCCCACGAUUUCUGUCGCAUGUUGUCGCUCCCCGGCGGCGGCGGCGGCGGCGCGUUCCCUCCGCCUUCGUACCCGAUCUCAUUCAUGAGGUACUGGUGCAGCUCGUUCGGUCGUCCUUGACCGCCGCCGGGAGCGCCCGCGCCGCCGUGCGGGGUGCCGAGCUCCAUGUCGCUGUCGCGCAGGAGCUCCUCGAGCUCCGGGUCGUUGACGCCGUACUCGUCGUCGUCGCCGGUGCCGACGCCUCGGCCGCUCCACCACCGGUCGACGUUAGCCGGCGGAUCGUUGGUUAUGGGUCUGCCGAGCCGCGCGUCGUGCAUCUGCAUCUGCGCCGCCGCGCGCGCGGCGGCCGCCGCGGGCGAAGACGCGUACACGCUCGUCCCGCCUUGAUGCGAGGCGUACGCGUGUCCAACGCGUCCGCCGAACCCGCCGGCGCCGCGCAUCUGAGACACCGUCGGCGAAGACCCCGCGCUUCGAAUCAUCAAAUCCGACUCGUCGAUCUCGAUGUCCGAGUAGCCGCCUCUGGAGCCGAAGGCUCCCCCUGAGGUGCCGCCGCCGCUGAUGGUGCCGCUGAAGGUGCCGCUGAGGGUGCCGUACAGCCCGCUAUCGGUGGUCCCGCCCGAGUCGCCGCCGCCGAAUAAAUUCUGAAAUCCGUGCCCCGGAUACGCCCCCGCCGGCCAAUUCGACAGAUCCCCGCCGUGCCCGCCGCGCUCGGUCUUCAUCCCGGGCGUGACUUUCAGGUAGUGCACGAGCACGACGCCCUCGUCCGAGUUUAGGAGCCAGUAGCAUCGGCGUUGAAACGUCCCGUCCGACGCGUGAUGGGCGUAGUAGCAUCUUCAGCUUCUCGUGCGUCUCCCGCACGGUCUUGCCGUCUUUCUUCUUCUGCCACUCGUGCCCGUCCUUGCGGAAGAAUCGCACGACUUUGCGAUCGAACAGGAACAGCGAUCCGGCUGCGAGAUCGCGGUGACGGUGGAAGGAGGCGGGAGGAAGGGAGGCGAGUCAAAAACUCCGAAUAAUCUAACAAAAAAAAAGGGUUCGGCGAAUCUAUGCACGCGCGGAGAUCUGACGACGCCGCGGAGGGAAGAAGCGACGGCGCGCACCCGACGGCUGGAUCGGCGCGUUCGGGCUCAGCACGAAGUCGUACGCCCUGUGGUUCAGAAGGAUAUCGCAGACUUCCGUGUUCUUCAGCCAUCGCGUCUGCGACUGCUGAAGAAGCGCGAUGAUGUGCGCUCGCGAGGCGCCGUCCGCGCCCAUCGGAGACGGGGGCGUGAGCACGAUCGCCGCGGGGCUGUACCCGUCGCCGCCGCCGCCUUCGUCCAUGAGCGUCGAGGUUCGGCCUCCGCUGCCGCUGCCGCUGCCGCUCAUCGUGACGCGCGAGGACGCGCGCGAGCCGCGGGGACCGGGGUGACCAGCGCCGACGGCGCGGGCGCCGCAAAAAUGACAGGGCUGCCGAGCGCGAGCCGAGUCAGAUGCUGACAGAGCUGACGGACAAAAUCUGUACGACGAAAUUCGAUUCUGAAAUUCGAUGUGAACUCGAUGUUACUUCGCUCGCCUCACGCCUCGCCUUCCAUCUCUCUUCCGAGCCGCAUCUGCCUCCACACCUCGGCGACGAACGCGUCGCCGUCGCCCGCGGGAUUAUACACCCCAGCGCGGUCAAACGAAGGCUCGCCGCCCGCGCCGCCGCCGCUCCGUCGCGCGCCGUCGCCGCCGAACGCGCGUUCCCGCUGCGCGCGAUACACGGCGUCCAAAACCUCGCGCGCCUUGAACGUCGCGUCGACGCCCCACUGGGAAUCGCCGGGGACGUAACGACCCACCGGCGCGGUCGCUUGCAUCUCGAGCGUCUUUUGGAUCGUUGCCGCGGCCGCGGAGGCGGCGGCGUCCUUGACCGCCGCGCGCUGCUCCGGCGUCUGCGGCGAGAGAGAGAGGAGGGAGGGAGGACGCGUGAGCGACGCGCGUCUUACGGUGAUCGACGCGGAACGGGAGUUUCGAUCGCGUCGCGUCGACGACGCACCGUGGCGCGCUGGUACGCCGCGGUCGCGGCGUUGUUCAUCGCCGCGGCCACCUUGGACGCGAUCUGCGCGCUUCCCGCGAUCGCUUCCAGCUCGGACGGCGUCGGCUGUGUCGUCGCGAGGUCGGAGAGGUCGAACCCGGCGGGGUCGGCGUCAGGGUCGUUCUAUACAAGCGAACGUCGGGGUGGAGUUCAUAGGCGUCAGUUUGAGUUGAAAGGCGUCGCGGGCGGAGAUUGAAAGCGAGGGCUGGGUGCAGAGAUGCGCCGGGCAAAGUCCUUAAGGAUCGGCGUUCACCACGCCAACGCGGUCGUAUGGGAACCAGUGUAUAGAACGCACCUCAGUCUCGGCGGCGGGCGCGGCGGCGGCGUCGCCGGCCACCUCCGCGAGCGCGUCGAACCCGCUCUCUGCCGCGCUCGCGGCGCCCGGCGCGGUCAGGGAUAGGAUGUCGUCGCUCAGCUCGAGCGCGUCGACGACGCUCUCGCCGAUGACUGGCCGGGAAGGGCCGAAGGACGCGCGGUCGCCUUCGCGGCCGCGGCGGAGCCACCUCGAGAACCCUCGGGGCGUGAAACCGUCGCCGUCGCCUUCGCCGGCGUCCGGGUAGUCGCGGUCCAAGAUGGGCGCGUAGAGAUCGUUCACCGCGUCGCGGACCUCGUCGCUCGCGAUGCGCUCCGCGCGGCGGCGCGCGUCCUCGAUGAACGCGCUCGCGUCGCCGAUGUCCUGCGUCGUCGGGUCGAAGAUAGGCGUCGCGAGCGUCGGCGACGACGCCGGCCCCGCGGCUUGCUGCGCGACGACGACGUCCGCGUCCGCGUCCGCGUCCGCGUCCGCGUCGCGGAGGAUCUGCGCGGGCGCGGCGCGGCCGCGGGCUCGGCCGCGACCGCGGCGCGCGCCGUCUCUCGGCGGCGCCGACGCCGACGCCGACGCCGCGGGGCCCGCGGCGACGAGGUCCGCGCCGAGGGCGAGGAGGACGCACGACGCGAGGAAGAGACGCAUGGCGUGCGCGCGGGCGCGGUGGAGUGACGACGCGCGAUGCGAACGCUUCGACGCGCGUCAGGCGAACGUUCGAUGGCGCGAGGGCGGGCGCGAGACGGCAUCGGGCCGUCGCACGCGCGACCGCCUCUGCGUGGAAGGCGAAGAGGCGGCCCAGCCAGGCUUUUCCCCAGCUUUUCCCGCGCGAACAGAACUAUUCGUAAAAGAGAACCCUAACGCCCCUCGCCACUUCAGCGCGCGCCUCCGCCGCGUCCGUCAUGGAAACCCGCGCGCGAUCGAACGCGCGUCUCGCGCUCCUUCCCCCGGAUCCCGACGCCCCCAGCCUGCGCGUCGACGGCGUCGUCGCGUGCGCCAUCUUGAAGCGCGUGCCGAACGUCCUCGACAGGCUCGCGCUCGCGGAGGCGAGCAAAGUCUUCUGGGAGGCUUCGAAAGAGGCCGCGUCGUUGCCCGACGCGCUCGACUUCACCGACGGCUCGGACGACGCGCGACUUAAACGACACGACCGACAGCUCAUCGGCGGAGAUCGCCUCGACAGACUGAGAUACAUCCUCAACAUCAACGGCGUGCUGAGAGAAGAGUGGCGCGACGAGCCGACCGACUACCUCUUCCCUCACUUGGGCCUAUGCGGCGACGCCAACGAGAGGAGUUACUCUUAUGACAUGGGGUUUCUCUGGCGAGACAUGUUGGAAAUCGCAGACGAUGAUUUCCAGGACACGCCUUCGGAGGGUAUUGAAUGGCUCCAAAAAGCUGCGAGCAUCGGCAGCAACGAUGCUAAGUACUUCCUCGGUCAGAUCUACUUGAACCGGUACUUCGACCUUCGUAACGCCGAUAUUGAAGAAGCGAUAAAGUGGUUUCGCAUGCACGCAGAGUGCGGUGGCCCUUACUUGGAUGAUGAACACGAUCCCAGCGAUGGGGCCGAGCAGCUCUGCCUUAUUCACUGGGGGCGCGAGGAGUUCGAAGACGCGUUCAAGUGGGCUUCGAUAGCCUUCGACCCGGGCGGCGGCAACCUCGAUGCGGCGUACGUGGUCGCUCGGUGCUACGCACAGGGCCUCGGCGUUAAGAAAGACGAAGUGAAGGCGGUCGAGCACUAUCACGCGGUGGUCGAAUACGAGACCUCUGAUUUUUUUGCCUACGCCGCACUUGAGCUAGGUAACGCGUACGAAUCCGGCAAGGGCGUUCGGAAAUGUGUUCCAACGGCGAUCGAAUACUACAAAAAGGUUGUCUCUCACGACGGAUUAGCCGUCGAUGGGGCGCGCGACGCCCUCGCAGCUCUCGGCGUCGACGCAUAGUCCACCCACGCGCACGAUCCACGCGAACGAACGACGACACGAACGAUGCAUAUACGCUACCUACGCUGCAAUACGAUACUACUACAUGCUCAAACUACGCUCAUCAAACUACGUGCACGCGGCGCUCACCGCCUCCACGGCGCCUGCUCCAUGACCUCCCCGAACGCCUCCGUCUUCGCGCACCCGGCGCGCUCCACGAACAACGCCUUCACGAUCGUCCGCUCCCCCUCGCUCCCGCUCACGACCCUGUGCCUCGCGCCCUCGGCUCGAAACAGCAGCAGCGAGUUCGCCGGCGGCGUGAUCGCCCGUCGCGCGCCGUCCGACCCCACCCACUCCGUCUUCGCGUCGGACGAGUUUGUUGCCGUGUAGAUCAACUCUUAGGGUCGUUCCAUACAAGCGAACGUCGGGGUGGAGUUGAAAGGCGUCAGGUGGAGUUGAAAGGCGCCGAGGGCGGGGAUUGAACGCGAGGGGUGGGCGGAGAGAAACGCCGGGAAAAGUCCUUAAGGAUCGGCGUUCACCACGCGGACGGGGUCGUAUGGGGACCAGUGUAUAGAACGCACCGUAUUGCGGCGGGUCGUACAGCCGCACGUCCGUAUGCCACCCCAUGCUGGAUCCGACGCGGUACAGACGCACCUCCACCGGGUAGUCCCCAAGCGCGAGGCUCUCGCACGACGUCAGCUGUCGGAGUUUGGACAGCGCGGGCGCGGACGCGAAGGCGGCGUACGCCGCGGACGUCACCGGCGCCGCCGCGGAGAGCCGCCCCACCGCGACGGAGUGGUCGACGCGGAGUUUCGAUCGCAGCUUUACGCACGCGGCCGCGACCGCGUCGCGGGCGUCGUCCGCGAGGAAGUUCGGGACGUACCACACGCGCGCGGCGGGGUCGGCGUGCGGCGCGGCGGGGUCGACGGCGACGAAGGUUUGCGGCGCGGACGUCGAGGGAGAGGAGGAGGAUCCGGAGGAUCCGGAGGUGCCGUCGUCGGAGGGCGAGGAGGACGCGGGCGCGACGACGCGGCGUCGUCGUCGCGGCGUCGCUCCGCGCGGCGCCGCGGGGUUCGAGGCGCCCCUUCGCGCGCGUCCGCGGCGCGGCGCGAGGUCGACGCGACCCGACGUCUGCGCCGCCAUCAUCGAACGAGACGCGCGCGUCGCGAAGUGGCGUGGCGGGACAACUAACAAUGCCUGGUACAUGGGACUCCGAUUUCCGUCGUCGCUCGCAGCGCCGUCGCCGAUAGCCGAGGUCGGCCGUCGUCGUCGUCGCGUGCGCGUUCACCGAAGCUCGGCCACAGCACGCCGCGCGCCCGACGCGCCCUUCGCGCGUCUCACCCGACGCACCCCGCGGACGUCGCGAUCCCGCGGUCCGCACGCGCGAUCGAGCGCUCGUGAUCAGGUGCGCGUCCUCGCCGCUCGGCCUGAUGGACGGCGGGGUUUUUAGAAUCCUCAAUCAAUCCUUCUCCUCUCGUCGCUGCACACUGGUGGUUUCUCUCGCGGCCGUCGCUCGCGAUCCCUCCCCGCCUCCGCCGCCUCCGCGUCGCGCGCGCGCGGAAUGAGAGGACGAUGAUCAACGUUUCCUGUGGUAUUUGAAUCAAGCGCUCGCGCGCUUUGAAACUAUCGAAACGACUGACUCUCAACGCGACGCCGCGCGCGAUCCUUCCUCGACGGAGGGAGGCCGCGCGUCGCGUCGCCGCGGCGAUUUUAUCGGUCCGCGUCGUCGCCCGCGCCCGCGCGUCGCCGCGGUCGUCCCACCGUUUCGGUGAUGAAUACGUUAAACUUUCGUUCUACCUAGGUCCGUGACAAUGCGGAGAAACAUCACCUUGGAGAACUGAGAAACGUGGGACGACUCGCGCGCGCGCGCUCGUCCGUCCGUCCGUCCGUCGAUCCCCCGACCCGUCGCGUCGUCGCGCGUCGAACGCGUGCGGUGCAUUCUCUUGAUGCAAACACCUUCGCCGAGUUCUCGUGCGGAUAAACUUGCGUUUGGAGACCUGAGCUGAAGAAUGCAUUCGACGCCACGACGGCGACGACGCCACGACGUUCAGCGAACGUCACCACCGACGCGCCGCGCCGUCGAUCCUCGAAACCUGACCUUCGCUCCCCGCUCUCAUCCAUCCUUCCAGAAGAUCGGUUUCGCGCUCGAGAGGGAGAAAAAAAAAAAAAAUCGAAAUCGAGCUUCGCCGCCGCCGCCAGCCUUCAUCAUGGGCGUCAUCAUGUCGCGGCUGUACUCAGCCAUGGGCGACCAAGAGGCGCGCAUCCUCGUCCUCGGCCUGGACAACGCGGGCAAGACGACGAUCCUGUACCGACUCCAAGUCGGCACGGUCGUGUCCACGAUCCCGACGAUCGGAUUCAACGUCGAGACGGUGACGUACAAGAACAUAAAAUUCCAAGUCUGGGACUUGGGCGGCCAGAGCAGCAUCCGGCCGUACUGGCGGUGUUACUACCCGAACACGCAGGCGAUCGUCUACGUCGUGGAUUCGUCCGACGUGGAGCGCGUCGGGACGUCGAAGCAGGAGUUUCAGGCGAUAGUAGAGGAGGAGGAGCUGAGGGACGCGACGAUUUUGGUGUACGCGAACAAGCAAGACGCGCCGGGGGCGUUGGACGACGCGCAGAUCGCGGAAGGGUUGGGCCUCCACGAGAUCAAGAAUCGAAAGUGGGCCAUCUUUAAGUGCUCCGCGACGAAAGGCGAAGGGCUGUGGGAGGGGAUGGAGUGGCUCGCGAACGGGUUGAAGAGCAAGCAGAAGGGCGGCGGGUCGUCGUGGUUCGGGGAUUGGAGCUCGUGGGGGUGGUCGUCGUCGAAAUAGCGUCGGCGAUUAUGGCGGCGGGCGCUCGCUCGUGUAAGAAACACCAACGCGUCAUGUCAUCACAAAAACGUGUCGGCCACGGCGGGCGCGGGGGCGUACGGCCCGACGUCGUCGCCGAGCAACGCCGCCGCGGCGGCCAACUCGGCGUGAAUCGCCCUCGGAUCUUCGAUGAGCUCGCCGCCGUCGCCGCCGUCGCCGUCGUCCGCGUCCGCGGCUUUCUCGACUUUCAACCCCUUCGGCGCCUUGCCGACGACGAACCCCUCCACCUCCGACGCGGGUUUCCCCUUCAGAUCCCUCGCGCUCUUCUUCGCGUCGACGCCCGCUCGCUGGUCCUCCGCCUCCGUCUCUCCGCCUUCGCCGCCGUCUCCCGCGGCGCGCGACGCCUUCAGCCGCGCCGCGCGGAGCUCCGGCUCGCGCGCGUUGGCCGCCUCGCGCCUCGGGUCCGCGACGAGUUUCUUCAGGCACAAGCCGACGGCUCUUCGCAACGCGUCCUUGACCUUGACCGCUUCGUUAUAUUUUAACGUCUUCGACGCGUGCGUUUUCUUCUCCUCGUCCGCGCCUCCCCCGCUCCCCGUCGGCGGCUCCAAGAACGGCUCCAAACGCGACAUGUACCGCCGAAUGUUCGGCACGAGAAGCAUCCGAACGACCCUCGGGCCGAGCGCGUGCAGCCCGACGAUGGCGCCGUAGUGCGUGCUCAGCGGCUUCGUUUCGUCGAGCAGCGCCUUCGAUAACGUCCGCGUGAUCCUCGGCUGAGGGUCGUUCCAUACAAAGUGAAGUCGGGGUGGAGUUGAAAGGCGUCAGUUGGCGUUGAAAGGCAUCGAGGUCGGGGAUUGAAAGCGAGGGGUGGGCGGAGAGAAUCGCCGGCAAAAGUGCUUAAGGAACGGCGUUCACCACGCCGACGCGGUCGUAUGGGGACCAGUGUAUAGAACGCGCCUGAAUCGUCGGGUACUCGCGUCCAAACUUCUCGCACACGAAAUUCAUCGUCUCCGCCGCUUGCUCGCGCAGCGCCCAGUGGUUCUCGUCCGGCGACGCGCACAGCCGCUUCGCGACCAUGCACGUCACGAUGGACGGCAUGAACUGAUGCAGGUACAGCUCGACGUGCACGUUCGGGUUCGCCACGAUCGCGAGCGUCGCGGCGGUGAGCGCGCGAAGCUUCGGGAGCUCCCUGAGGGUCGUUCCGUACGAGCGAACGUCGGGGUGGAGUUGAAAGGCGUUAGUUGGCGUUGAAAGGCGUCGAGGUGUGUCGGGAUUGAAACCGAGGGGUGGGCGGAGAGAUGCGCCGGGAGAUAAAGUCCUUAAGGAUCGGCGUCCACCUCGCCGACGCGGUCGUAUGGGGAUCAGUGUGAGAUAGAACGCGCCUGAGCGACUUGGCCACCUCCGUCUGAACGAAUUGCACGAGGUACGGCAUGAGCUGGUGCAAGCCCGCGUCCGUCGCGAGAGACGCCAGCGCGGCUCGCAACAUCGGCGCCUCUUCCCCGGCGCCGCCGCCUCGGAUCACCGCGGUGACUCUGUCGAAGUACAGCUGGAGCUCCUUGCUGAGCUCGUGCGCGACCACGGGUUGGACCACCGCGGCGCCGUCCGCGCCCGCGCCGGUAACGCCGCCGUCCUCGCCGGCGCCGCCCGCAGCCUUGCGCUUCGCCCCCGCGGCGGCGGCGUUAGCGGCGGCGUGCGCGGCCGGCCCGCCGACGUCUUGCGGCGCGACGGGCGCGCGGAACAUCGCUCGCGCGCGCUCGUCGACGUCGAUAUCCGCCUCGAGAUCGGGUCGGAGAUUUUCCCCCGGCCCCAGCGGCGGGUUCUCCGGGAUCAGGGGCUGGACGCCGUCCACGGCGAGCCAGUGCGGGACGACGUUGACCGCGAUCGGCGGGCGCGGGAGCUUCAUCGCGAGGAUGUCCUUCAGCUCGAUCUCCUUGCUCGCCUGCGUGAAGAAAUCGGGAUGCCCCGGCACCUCUUUAAACGCGAUGGCGGGCGCGUUCGCGGGGAAUCCGUAGAGCGCCUCCACCUUCUUCAUCUUCAGCGAGCUGUUCACGUCCUCCGUGGACAGCUGUACGCGCUUGCUGUGGCGCAUGAACUUGCACGCGUCCUGGAUGACCUCGCGCAGGCGGUACUCCACGUCCGGGGCGAGCGCGCGCGCGACCUCGUCGGGGAGAUUGUCGAACCCGACCGUCUCCGCGAUCGCGCUGACGGACGCCCCGGGGAGGUGGUCGUACUCCUCCGCGGCGGCGUCCGCGGGCAUCGUGGGAGGCGCGCCCGGGGACCCGGGGAUCGGAUCGGGGGGGACGCGACCGGGACCCGUGCCGCGCGGGGGGAAGUGCGCGAGCGGUCCCGAUGGGGGGGUCGGCUUACCGCGCGCGAAGCCCAUAACCUUCCUGUCUGGUGUCACGUUUCGGCUUCACUGACAACAGAAAUAUUAUUCCUUCCGUUAUUACCGCGGCCUCACUCUUCGAGGCGCGGCGAUACCGCGAGGCGCGCGCGCGAUGACGGCGACAUCGCGUCGAUAGCGGUCGAUACAACAAAACAUGGACGUGCUUCGCGGCAUCGCCGGUCGCGGUCGCGCGAGGAAGUUCCAUCCGCGCGGAUGGCAGAAACGGAAAAAGCGGUUCGUGCGUCAGAGUUGGCAGGCGGCAUGCGAAAACGCCCCGUGCGGCGUCGACGGCGUCGGCGACGAGCUCCUGCGUCGCUUCUUCGCGUCGCACCCCGGGUUCGUACAGCUGUUCAACUUCCGCCGCGCGCGGCUGCUGAACAGCGCGGCGUGGCGGUUGCACGCGCGGUCAGUCGCGCGAGCCAUCGACGACUUCGUCGUCGUCGCGACGGCGGGAGCGGAUCCGUCGUCGUCGUCGUUCGAUAACGGCGCGUGGCGGCGAACGAAGACCGCGCUCAGGGAGCUCGGCGGGAGGCACCUCGUCGCGUACAAGGUGACUCCCGCGCACUACGACGCGUUCGGGAGAGCGCUCCUCGCGACGGUCGAGGCGACGGCGCGCGGCGGCGGCGGCGGCGGCGACGGCGGCGGCGACGGCGGCGGCGGCGACGGCGGCGGCGAUGGCGGGUUCGACCGAGAGACGCUGGCGGCGUGGACGGAGACGUGGGAGGGCAUGCGCGAGCUCAUGUUGCAGGGACCUAAGGUUAGCAAAUGAUAGUGAACGUGAGAUAGAAGAAGUGUCACGCACUUAAUGGUACUUAAUCACCAUGCGCGUUGCGAUGUCCGGGUUCGAAGGUUGUUUUCGAUUCGUUUCGACGUCUUUUUCGUUCGUCUCCGAUCUACGAUCGUCUCGGCGCCCGCGGCGGCGUCCUCCCUCUCCCUCUCCCCCCGAACGACCCGCCGCCGCUGUCGCUCGCGCUCCCGCCGGAAAAGAACCCCGCGUUGUUGCUCGGAACGCCGCCGAAGAACCCCGCGACCCCCUCCGACGACGGCGACGACCGGCCGCCUUUCGGCAGACCGAACCCGACGACGGGACCGUCGCGGGUCCCGACUCCGUUCGGAGAGACGGAGAACCCGUCCGCUCCCAGGCCGUUCGGCGGCGACGGCGAGUUUCUCAUCCGCCCGCCGUUCGAGCCGUUCGAGGACCCGAACAGCGGCCGCGGGCCGAGGUUCGCUCGGGUCAACUUCCGCGGGCGCGGGUUCAGCGAGUUCGGGAGGCUCCCGAUUCGACCGGCGCCGACGCUUCCCAUGUGCGAGCUGCUGCGGCUGCCGCUGCGUCCGCGGCGUCCGAUGCCGCCGCCGCUGCCGCGGCCGUCGGACUCGGACUCGCUCGAGGACGUGAUGACCUCGUCGUCGUCGUCGUCGUCGUCGUCGUCGAGAUCGCUGCCGCUGCCCUCGCGGUCGCCGUCGCCGGCGCCAGCGCCGGCGCCGGCGCCGGCGCGUCGCGCGCUGCCUCGCCACGUCACGUACGUCGACGGAAGCCUCAGGCGCCCGGCGCUUCGUCGGAGGAGGUACGGGUCGAACGGGAAGAACAUCCGGAGCGGGCGGCGAUGCCGCACCGCCUCCGCGACUUCGCUGCCGAGGACGACGGUGCUUUGCGUGCGCGCGAGCGCGGCGUUUCCGUUUCCAUUUCCGCCGUUUCCGCCGUUUCCGCCGUUUCCGCCGCCGCCCGCCGUCGCGGCGUCUUUUUCCUUCCGCUCCCUCCGGUGCUUCUCCAAAAGCUGCUCGUCGAACCCGUCCACGCCCGCCUCCACGGCGCGGUGCAAAAACUCCGUCACCACGGACGGCAAGCACGUGUGCGUCGGGUUCAGCUUGCUGUAUAAAAUCUCCCUCAACGGCAGCGCGCGAAGCGUCGUCGCUGGCUCGUCGCCGACGUCGAGAAUAUCCGUCAUGCGGUAACACAGGACGUACAUCAGAGCCUGGCACGCGCUGUCGAAGACCGCGAGCGUCGCGCUCGACGCGUUCGCGAACUCUCGCUGUUCCGUGUCCGUGAGCGGAGCCGGCUUCGCGUCGUCGGGCGCGGCGUCUUCGCUCGCGCCUUCGACGUCGAACGAAGACCCGAACCCGCGGGAUAACCCUCCCGACCCACCCUUGCCGCCGCCGCUCUCCGGGGACGUCACGCCGGUGACGCCCGCGCCGCGCGUCGCGCUCUCGACCGUCGCGACGCACCACGCGGUCAGCCUCCGCAGGACGCUCGACAUAAACGCCGCCGAGAGAAACGUCGCGCGCGCUAAAAACGACGCCAGAUACGCCGUCGCCGCCAACCGCCCCGCCGGCGGGUGGUGCGGGUCCGUCAAACGCUCCAGCAGAACCUCCACGACCCUCGACGCGAGCUCGCCGCCUUCGCCUUCAUUCCCUUGGAUCCCGGCCGCGUCGCGCGCGCACGCGUGGAAGAGAAUAAACUGCGUGAACUUUGACUUGUGCGCCGGCAGAAGCGUGGACACGAACGUUCGAAGCAACGCGUCGCUCACCGCGGCGUCGUCCCCGCGGUCGAUCCUCGCGUCCACGUGCGCGAGGGUGAUCUCCAUCAUCGAAUCGAGCGCGUCCGCGGUCUCGUCCACGGCGACGCCGCCGCCGCCGCCGGGGGACAGACGCCCGCUCCCGCUGGCGUGACGCGAGUGGUUGUUGUCCGGGUAGUAGCCUCCGUAGUUGGCGCCCCCGGGGUCGCCGCGCGCGGACAUCCCUCCGCCGCCGUGCAUGCCGUACCCGCGCUCCCACGCCGCGGCUUGACGCACGAGCUGCUCCUCGAUCGUUUUUUCUAUGUCUUCGAGCUCGAAGAUCCCCGCGCCGUCUUUCCCGUCGGCGUCGUCGUCGUCGUCGUCGUCCGCGUCGUCGUCGGAGUCGUCGUCGCCGUCGUCGUCGCCGCCGUCGUCGCCGUCGUUCGGGCGCUCCGCGCGGAUGUCCUCCCACUUGAUGUCAACGUCGAGCUCUAGCAUGUGAGCGACGACGGACUGUAACAACACAUCGCGUAACGGCGCCCCCGAGGGCGUUUCUACUAACCGAAACGCCGCCCUGAGGUACUGACACUGCGUCGCCCGGUGCGACGACUUAUGCGGCAACCGCUGCAAUAGCGUCGGCCUCAGCACGCUCACCGCGAGCGGCACGAGGGUCAAGAUCGACUCGACCGCGCCGACGAUCGCGGCGGUCGUCUCCGACGCCGGUCGACUCCCCGCGCCGCCGGUCCCUUCCAGCGCCGCGCGCGCCGGCGGCGGCGUCGGCGACGACGCGCCGGCGCCCGCGCCCGCGCCGCCGCCGCGUCGUCCCAUGUCCAUGUCUUCCUCCAGCGCCUCCACGGGGUACCCCGCCGGCGGCGUGAAACUCUCCACGAGAACGUCCAACACCGUCUGCAACAGCGACCCCGCGUGCGUCACGACCAAGUUGACGCAGAACACGAUCACGAGGCUCACGACGUCGUCGCGGCAUCGCCACGGGUUCGCGCGCAGGACUUUUUGAAGGAGGUUCUCGUGCACGCGCACGUCGAGCGACGAGACGUGCUCCGCGAGCGCCUCGAGCAUCAUCGUCUUGUCCCGCGCGACGUCCGCCUCCUCGAGACCGUCGAUCGCGUCCAGGAGCUCGUAGUACUGCGCGCGAGACCCGCGGCGCGCGCCGUCCAGGGCGUUCUUCACGAACGCGCGCAUGAGCCCGCGCGCGGUCUCGGGGUCGAUCUCGGCGGCGGCGACGUCGUCGUCGCUGUCGCCGUCGUCGUCGUCGCCGCCGCCGCCGCCGCCGCCGCCGCCGCCGUGUCUCGACUGCGACGCGACGGGGCGCGGCGCGCGCGCGCCCGCGCGCGUUCCCGCGAGCGCGGCGAGAUCCAUCGCGUCCUCGCGCCUUCGCCUCGCGCCGCCUUGUGCCGCCGGAUCUUCGGCGACUCCGUUUUCUUCCUUUCGCGCGGAAAACUUACGCCGAACGUACACCUCCGCUCUGUUUGCGCGUACGAAUUGCGACGCCGUACGCUGAUUGGCCGAAGCAGCUCGCGGAAAACGGAAAGAGGACGUCAUCGCUUUUUCCUGCUGUUGUGGGUAAGAUAAAGGACGUCGCGCCAUCUCGAGACGCGCCUCGCACGCGCCCUCGAUCGCUCGAGCACUCGAGCUUCACGCUUCCUCCUCCGCACGACAUCAUGGUCGCGGGAACGACGAUCGGCGCGUCCGCCGCGUCCGCGUCGCUCGCGUCGCGCGCGUCCGAAUCGAUGACGGCGCGGCGGGUCGCGCAGUCUCGCGUCGCCCCCGCCGCGGCGUCGCGCGCGAGGGCGCUCCGCGUCGUCGCGAAAGACUACCCGAAGCCGGAUAAGAUCUCGGACACGGACAACUACCGCGAGGGCGCCGCGCUGUCGCAAAAGUUCAAGGAGCUCAAGGGCAUGGGGAAGAAGAAGAAGGUGGCCAUCGUCGGCGGCGGCCUCUCCGGCCUCGCGUGCGCGAAAUACCUCGUCGACGCUGGGCACGAGCCCAUCGUCCUCGAGGGACGCGACGUCCUCGGCGGCAAGGUCAGCGCGUGGCAGGACAAGGACGGCGACUGGAUCGAGACCGGCCUCCACAUCUUCUUCGGCGCGUACCCGAACAUGAUGAACCUCUUCGCGGAGCUCGACAUCGAGGAUCGACUGCAGUGGAAAGUGCACAAGAUGAUCUUCGCGAUGCAGGAGCUCCCCGGAGAGUUCACGACGUUCGACUUCAUGAAGGGCAUCCCCGCGCCGCUGAACUUUGGACUCGCGAUCCUUCUCAACCAGAAGAUGUUGUCGCUCCCGGAGAAGCUUCAGACCGCGCCGCCGCUCAUCCCGAUGCUCAUCGAGGGCCAAGAUUUCAUCGACGCGCAAGACGAGCUCAGCGUCCUCGACUUCAUGCGCAAGUACGGCAUGCCCGAGCGCAUCAACGAGGAGGUGUUCAUCUCCAUGGCGAAGGCGCUCGAUUUCAUCGACCCGGAUAAGCUCUCGAUGACCGUCGUCCUGACCGCGAUGAACCGCUUCUUGAACGAGACGGACGGGCUUCAGAUGGCGUUUCUCGACGGGAACCAGCCGGAUCGCCUCUGCGCGCCGAUGGCGGAUCACGUCAAAGCCGGCGGCGGCGAGGUCCGCAUGAAAGCCCGCCUCAAGGAGUUCGUCCUGAACGACGACGGCAGCGUGAAGUGCCUCAAGAUGACGAACGGCGAAGAGAUCGUCGCGGACGAGUACGUCAGCGCGGUGCCCGUGGACGUCAUGAAGCGCCUCCUCCCGAAGAAGUGGUCCAACAUGCCGUUCUUCCAUCAGAUUCAAAACCUCGAGGGCAUCCCGGUGAUCAACAUCCACUUGUGGUUCGACCGCAAGCUCCAGAACGUGGACCACCUGUGCUUCUCGCGCUCGCCGCUGCUGUCCGUCUACGCGGACAUGUCCACGACGUGCAAGGAGUACUACGACGAGGAGAAGUCGAUGCUCGAGCUCGUCUUCGCGCCGUGCUCGCCCCUCGCCGGCGGCAACACGAACUGGAUCGCGAAGAGCAACCAGGAGAUCGUCGACGCGACGAUGAAGGAGCUCGAGCGCCUCUUCCCGCUCGAGAUCGGCCCGGGGAGCCCCGACGGCGUCGGCGCGAAGCUCCUGAAGCACGCGGUCGUGAAGACGCCCCGCAGCGUCUACGCCGCCAUCCCGGGCCGGAACAAGUACCGCCCGAGUCAGGCCACGCCCAUCAGCAACUUCACGCUCGCGGGGGACUGGACGUCGCAGAAGUUCUUGGGGAGCAUGGAGGGCGCCGUGCUCGGAGGGAAGCUCGCCGCGGAGGUCGUGACGGACAAGGCGAUCUACGGCGGGCCGACCAAGGGGAUCAAAAAGAUUGUCCCGGACGUCGUGAAGGAGGCGAACGCGAUGGAGGCGAGAGAGCCGGAGGGUUCGAAGGGCGAGUCCGAGCUGUCGUACGGCGCCGGGUGCGUGAUGGGCGAGGAGCAGGAGAAGGAGCUCGCGGUGUUCGACCCGGAGCAGAUGGUGACGAUGGACAACUACGUCGCGAGGGAGUCCAUCCCGGUGUCGCGAUAGACGACGCGCGGAUACGAAAGAGGUGAAAAUGUUUUAAUUGAGUUCAGCAGAAAUAGACCGACUCCUAAUAGUACUGCUUGCGCGGGUUCCCGAGCGGGUUCGGGCGGUGGCGGUACCCUUGCAUCAUUCGCUUCUUGUACUGCUCGAAGAUGUCCUCGCCCUCCUUCGGCGCGGCCGGGUCUGCGACGUCCGACCCGAGCCCGGGGUUGUCCGCGCCGCCGCCGUACCCCAACCCGCCGCCGCCGCCGCCGUGCCCCAACCCCGGCGUCUCUCCUCCCGCGCCCGCGCCCGAGGGCUUCGCCCACGUCUUCUGCACCGGCGUCGUCCCCGGCGCGGUCUCUACCGCGUGCCCGCCGCCGCUCCCUAUGCGAGCGGCGAUGUCGCGCGCGGCGGCGGCGGCGGCGUCCGCGGGCGCGAUGAAGGCCCCAGGGGGCGCGAAGUCGCCCAUGUGAUGCCCCCUCGUGCCGUCGUAUCGAAUCCGCGCGUCGAUGUCCUCGCGGCGUAUCGGCCCUCGCGCGCCCGUCGCCGCGGCCGCGAUCUCCGCGGGCGUCAGCCGCUCUGAUGAAAACCCCCCGCUCGCGAGCGUUUUUUCUUUCGCCGCGGCCUGCCGCUCUUCGCGAAACUUAUCCUCCCUCGCGGCUUGCUUCGCGAAAAAUUCCAUCGCUCGCAGCGGAUCCGCGGCGGCGGCUUCCUUCGCGUACGCCGCGCCGCCGCUGUUGCCGCUGCCGCUGCCGACGUGCGGCGCGGUGCGCAGGGCGUCCACGGACGCGCCGGAGUCCACGAACCCGCUCCGCGCGGCGGCGGUGAUCCCUCCCGCUUCCUUCGACGGGUCUCGGUAGUACCGCGCAAACUUUUUAUCCCCGAAGCGUCCUCCUCGGCCUCUCGGCGGCGACGGCGAGCGCGAUCGCUCGCGCCCGGGCGGCGCUCCGGGCGGCGGCGCAAGCGGCGGCAGCAUCGACGCGGGCGCGGGCGCGUCCCAUCCGCUGGGUUUGCUACCCGGCGGCGGCGGCGGCGGCGGCGGCGGCGGCGGCGGCGGCGGAGGCCGCCGCCGCGGAGGCGCUGCGGGCGGNNNNNNNNNNNNNNNNNNNNNNNNNNNNNNNNNNNNNNNNNNNNNNNNNNNNNNNNNNNNNNNNNNNNNNNNNNNNNNNNNNNNNNNNNNNNNNNNNNNNNNNNNNNNNNNNNNNNNNNNNNNNNNNNNNNNNNNNNNNNNNNNNNNNNNNNNNNNNNNNNNNNNNNNNNNNNNNNNNNNNNNNNNNNNNNNNNNNNNNNNNNNNNNNNNNNNNNNNNNNNNNNNNNNNNNNNNNNNNNNNNNNNNNNNNNNNNNNNNNNNNNNNNNNNNNNNNNNNNNNNNNNNNNNNNNNNNNNNNNNNNNNNNNNNNNNNNNNNNNNNNNNNNNNNNNNNNNNNNNNNNNNNNNNNNNNNNNNNNNNNNNNNNNNNNNNNNNNNNNNNNNNNNNNNNNNNNNNNNNNNNNNNNNNNNNNNNNNNNNNNNNNNNNNNNNNNNNNNNNNNNNNNNNNNNNNNNNNNNNNNNNNNNNNNNNNNNNNNNNNNNNNNNNNNNNNNNNNNNNNNNNNNNNNNNNNNNNNNNNNNNNNNNNNNNNNNNNNNNNNNNNNNNNNNNNNNNNNNNNNNNNNNNNNNNNNNNNNNNNNNNNNNNNNNNNNNNNNNNNNNNNNNNNNNNNNNNNNNNNNNNNNNNNNNNNNNNNNNNNNNNNNNNNNNNNNNNNNNNNNNNNNNNNNNNNNNNNNNNNNNNNNNNNNNNNNNNNNNNNNNNNNNNNNNNNNNNNNNNNNNNNNNNNNNNNNNNNNNNNNNNNNNNNNNNNNNNNNNNNNNNNNNNNNNNNNNNNNNNNNNNNNNNNNNNNNNNNNNNNNNNNNNNNNNNNNNNNNNNNNNNNNNNNNNNNNNNNNNNNNNNNNNNNNNNNNNNNNNNNNNNNNNNNNNNNNNNNNNNNNNNNNNNNNNNNNNNNNNNNNNNNNNNNNNNNNNNNNNNNNNNNNNNNNNNNNNNNNNNNNNNNNNNNCGGUUCGCGGCGGCGCGCGCGGGCGUCUCGAGCGCGCGCGCGCCGCGCGCGAUCGAGACGCCGCCGCGCGUCGCCGCGCCGCGCGCGCGCGCCGCGCGGCCCCGAUUCGUCGCGGUGGCGCGACGCGCGGGCGAAAGCGGCGACGCGAGACGACGACGACGCGUGCGCGUGCGCGCGUUCAAGGACUACCUCGACGCGGAAGAGAGCGGCGACGGCGAGAAAGAGGAGGAGAAUACGACGGCGAAGGAGAAGGACGCCGCGGUCGCCGCCUCGGAGGACGCGACGUCCUCGUCCAACGAGGCGGAUGCCGCGGACGCGGACGCGGAAGAGAAGAAGAAACCGGACGACAAGAAAGGCAAAGGCAAAGGCGGCGGCCUCUUCGGGUGGCUCCCGUUCGCGUCCGUGCCGUCCAAGGCGCAGGAGGCGCACCUCGCCGCGUGCCGCGACGCCGCGGACGCGGAGCCGGACAACUUCGUCCGCCAAGACGCGCUCCUCCGAGAGCUCGUCUCCGCGGAGAGAUACCGCGACGUCGUCGAGCGCUUCGAGUCGCGGUCGCACGCGUCCGGCCCGGGCAGCGUCGUCGCGUACCUGACGUCCCUCGGGAAGCUCGACCUUCUCGACCGGUUCGACAUGAAGACGCCGCCGCCGGCGCAGCUCUCGAUGGCGGCGGCGACGGUGAUGAAGCGAGAGAAGCUCACCGCCGAGCAAGCCGCGGAGGCGGUGGCAGAGGCGGUGGCGAUCGGCGCGGCGACGAAAUCCGAACUCCCUACGCUCCUGAGAGACCUCUCCAAGCGCGCGGAGGGGCGGAACGGGGUGAUCAAGGUCCCGCGCGGCGCGUCCGCGGCGGCGCCGCUGCACGUCGUCAUCGGCGACGGAUACGGCGGGUCAUCGUUCGGCCCGGACGGCGGAGGGCAACGCGCCAAGGGCAACGGCGUCGUGAACUUCAUCUUUUACGGCGUCAUGGCGUGCGUCCUGGGCAGCGCGGGGAUGAGCGCGAUGAAGACGCACGCGGCGAACGUGAACAAAGGCGGCGACGCGUCCGCGUCCGCGUCCGCGAGAGGCGGGGCGUCCUCGUCGUCGUCGAGUUCGAAUUCUUUGAUGCCCGGAAAGCCGUCGCUUCCCGCGCUCGGCGGCGCGGGGAGGGCGGGCGGCGACGACGCGCAGAAGAAGGGCGAGGGGAGCUCGUUCGACCCGAAGGAGUACAACAAAGACGCGCUCCCGGAGAAGAGCGUGAAGACGUUCAAAGACGUGUUAGGGUGCGACGAGGCGAAAGAGGAGCUCCAGGAGAUUGUGGAGUACCUGAAAAACCCGGACCUGUUCACGCGCCUCGGCGGGAAGCUCCCGAAGGGCGUCCUUUUGUCCGGCCCGCCCGGCACGGGGAAGACGCUGCUCGCGCGCGCGGUCGCGGGCGAGGCUGGCGUCCCGUUCUUCUACCGCGCCGGCAGCGAGUUCGAGGAGAUGUUCGUGGGCGUGGGGAGCAAACGCGUCCGACAGCUGUUCGCGGCGGCGAAGAAGAAGACGCCGUGCAUCGUCUUCAUCGACGAGAUCGACGCGGUCGGGACGUCGCGCAAGGCGUUCGAGACGCAGUCGCGAAAGACGUUGAACCAGCUUCUGACCGAGAUGGACGGGUUCGAGCAGAACGAGGGAAUCAUCGUCAUCGCGGCGACGAACAUUCCGGAGCAGCUGGACCCGGCGUUGACGCGGCCGGGGCGGUUCGAUCGCCUCAUUCACGUCCCCAACCCGGACAUCGGCGGGCGACGCGAAAUCUUGCGGCAUUACCUCGCGGACAAGCCCGUGGCGUUGGACGUGGACGUGGAGACGCUCGCGCGCGGGACCGCCGGGUUCAGCGGCGCGGAGCUCUUCAACCUCGUCAACAUCGCCGCGGUGCAAGCCGCCGUCGCCGGCGAAACCGUCAUCGACGCCGCGCGACUGGAGUGGGCCAAGGAUCGCAUCGUCAUGGGCGUGGAGCGCAAGUCCGCGGUGCUCACGGAGGAGAGCAAGAGGCUCACGGCGUACCACGAGGCUGGCCACGCGAUCGUCGCGUUGCGAACCCCCGGAGCGAUGCCCGUGCACAAGGCGACGAUCGUCCCGCGAGGCAGCGCGCUCGGGAUGGUGACGCAGCUCCCGGAUAAGGACGAGACGUCAAUCACGCGGCGGCAGCUCCUCGCGAGACUGGACGUGUGCAUGGGCGGGAGAGUCGCGGAGGAGCUCAUCUUCGGCAAGGACGAGGUCACCACCGGCGCGCUUUCGGACUUGCAGCAAGCGACGCGGCUGGCGACGUACAUGGUCGGCGAGGUUGGGCUCUCGUCGCUCGUCGGCCCCGUGCACGUGGACUCGAUGAGCAAAGGCGGUCGGAGAGCGACGGAGGCGCUGGUGGACAAAGAAGUGGUGCAGUUGCUGCGGGAUUCGCACGCGCGCGUGACGAAGCUGCUGACGCGGCACUCGCAGGAUUUGCACACGCUCUCCGCGGAUUUGUUGCAGCGCGAGACGUUGACCGGGGACGAGAUCAGGGUCACGCUGAAGAUGCCGCCGGCGUCCAAGCCAACGCCGCCGGCGUCGAAGAAGAAGUCGAGCGACGCGGCGGACGGCGGCGGCGGCGUCGGCGUCGGCGCGAAGGACGCGGGCGAGGAAGCGAAGAAAGAGAAGGACGGCGACGGCGACGCGAUCGCGGACGGUCUGGUCGGGAUCCCAGGGCUGCUGCCGGGGAUCGAGCCCGUGGACUCGGAGAAGGAGACGAAGGUGACGGCGUGAACGCGCGCUCGUCGCGGCAUUUUUUUACGAGAGAUUCUUUCGAACCGAAAUACGAGUCGUACGGAGGCGCGAUACCGUACCUCCGCGCUGCGCAGACUAGACUACGAUGUCAGCACGUAGCCCUACCGGUUCGGCUGCUUCUCCAGCUCCGUGAGCGCGAGCGCGAUCUCCGACCCCACCCGCGCGUUGUUCUUCACAAGCGCGAUGUUGCUCUCUAAGCUCGCGCCCUUCGUGAGCUCCCGGACGCGUCUCAGGGUCGUUCCAUACAAAGCGACGUCGGGGUGGAGUUGAAAGGCGUCAGAUGGAGUUGAAAGGCGUCGAGGGCGGGGAUUGAAAGCGAGGUGUGGGCGGAGAGAGACCCCGGGAAAAGUCCUUAAGGAACGGCGUUCACCACGCCAACGCGAUCGUAUGGGGACCAGUGUAAGAUAGAACGCGCCUCAAGAGAAACGGCGUCACGUCCCUCCCUCUGACGUUUUUCGCCUCCGCCUCUCUCAGCGCCUUCCCGAUCGCGGCCUCUACCUUGCCGCCCUUCGCCUCGUCCUCCUCCGGGAUCGGCACCCCGAAGACGGUGCCGCCGAGGCCGAGCCGCUUCCCCGCGAGUAUCAGCGCGGCGGCCUCGGCGGGGGUGUCUACCCUCGUCGGCGCGCGGCAGCCGCUGUUUCGCGUGAAAAACGCCGGGAAGUCAUCCGCGCCGUACCCGACGACGGCGGCGCCGUGCGUUUCCAAAACCUCCAGCGUCUUCGGGAUGUCCAGGACGCUCUUCGCACCCGCGCAUAUCACCGCCACGGGGGUUCGUCCGAUCUCCGUCAGAUCUGAGGAGACGUCCAUGGAGUUCUCGCCGCCGCGGUGGACGCCGCCGAUGCCGCCGGUGACGAACACGGAGACGCCGACUCUCGACGCGAACAGCAUCGUCGCGCUGACGGUCGUCGCGCCCGUCGCCUUCGCGGCGACGCACGCGGCGAUGUCCCGCCGCGAUACUUUAGCGGCUCUCGGCCCCAACUCCGCGAGCUUCGCGAGGUCCGCGUCCGGGAGGCCGACGCGAGGGACGCCUUCGACGAUCGCGAUCGUCGCCGGCGUCGCGCCGCGCGCGCGGACGAUCGCUUCCACCUCCCUCGCCAUCGCGAGGUUCUCCGGGUACGGCAUCCCGUGCGAGACGAUCGUGGACUCGAGCGCGACGACCGCGCGGCCAUCCGCGAGCGCUUCCGCGACCUCGGGGGAGACGACGACGCCGCCGGUGGAGAUGGCCCACGACGACGGCGAGGCGCGCGCGAGCACGCCGUCCGGAUCCUCGUCCUCGUCGUUCGAACUCGUCGCGAUCGCAUCGUUCGAGGAGGGGGACGCCGCGGCCGUCGGCGAUCGAACGAGCGAUGCGGAGGAGGAGGAGGGGGAGGGGGGGGAGAGGUGGUGCGCGAGCGACGCGACGCGACGCGACGAUCGCGUCGCGCGCUCCAUAUCGCCCGGCGUCGACGCGAGUGGCCGGCGGCGGCUCAUCAUCUUAAAAGUCUACCUUCGUGUCUACGAGUACUCAUAGUCCAGUUACAAUCGUUUUUCAACCAUCCCUCGGUUUCAACAUUUACUCGCGUCCCCUUUCAACUGACCGAUGCACGUGUUUUGUAUGGAAUCGCAGGCGGAGGCCGUGGGCGCGUUCCCGGCGUGGCCCACGUUGGCGGAGCUUUUCCCCGCGGAAGGCGGCGAUGACGACGGUCACGGUCACGGUCGAGAAAGCGGUCAUCGCCACCACCACCACUGAGACGGAACAGGUUACAUACGGGAAUCGGCGAUCGACGCUCUCCGAAUCGUGGUUCCCUAAGUAAAUUUGUCUACCCUGUAUCGCCGCUCAGGCUCCGCAAGUUCGCAUUUUCCUCGAGACUACUUUCGUAUGAGUAUUUGGACAGUCCGAUACUGUAGAUCUCGCCCCCCCGUCCGUCCACUCCGAGAUGCGCGCCGGCGCCCGCGCCUUCAGGGUCCUUCUCCUCCUCCUUCUCGUCCUCUUCCUCGCGACCGGCGGCGCGGUCGCGAGGGAAACCAUCGUGGACGACGACGACGCCUCGGCGGGCGGGCUCGAGCCUUUCGCGGCCGCGCCCGCGGAGGAGGAGGACGCCCGCGUGUCCAUGCCAGGUGGCGUCUCCGCCCCGCUGCCGAGUUCCUCCCACGACGCGUACAGAGAAGACGCGCUCGCGGCGGUGGAGCACCUGAACGCGGUGCAGCUCGACGGCGCCAAGGUGUCGCCUCGAUACGCGCUCAGAGACAUCAUAGAGGUGAGGAGCCAAGUCGUCGCGGGGACGAUGGUCCACCUCAAAAUCGCCGUAGGAACGGAGGACGACGAGGGCGAGCCGCGGGCGGCGGCGCGGAAGACGUGCGACGCCAACGUGUGGAGGAAGCUGGACGGCACGAGGGAGGUCACGAGCGCGACGUGCGAGAAUUGCGACGCGCGCGACGCGUGACGCGGGGUGUGUGUGUGGUGGGAUCAGCUAGGCGGCCGCGCCGCGGCGGAGAAGUAACAACGCAACGAACGAUUUCGCGACGAACUGAGAUGACCGAACGACGUAGUUCUAGUCGCCCCCCAAGUCGUCGUCGUCGUCGUCCUCGAACCCCUCGUCCGCUUCCACAGCCUCCGACAUCUCGUCGUCGUCGUCAUCGUCCGCCGCCCCGCCGCCGUCGCCGCCGUCGCCGCUCAUCGCGAACGUCACGACCUCGCCGAGGAACAGAUACGACAACACCGCGCCGACGGCGAAAAACACUGACGAGGGUCGUUCCGUACGAAGCGACGUCGGGGUGGAGUUCAAAGGCGUCAGAUGGAGUUGAAAGGCGUCGAUGUGUGUCGGGAUUGAAAGCGGCGAGGGGUGGCGGAGAGAAACGCGCGCGGGCGAAAGUCCUUAAGGAACGGCGUUCACCACGCGAACGCGCUCGUAUGGGGACCAGUGUGAUGGAUGAGAACGCGCCCGAGUACCGCGAUCGCCUUCGAAACGCGAUCUCCUUCGCCGUGAGCUUCUCCUCCUUUCCGCCGCCGCUUCCCCACCACCCACGCGCGCGGUCUCUCUUCGACGCGGUCGGGGGCUCGAUCCACGCGCUGGAGUCCAGCGCGUGCGCGGCGUCGCCGCCCUCGCCGAGCGAGGACCCGUCCUCGCUCGGGAAGAGGCGCCGGCUGAUUAAUCGACGAGGUUCGGCGUUCGGGGGCGCGUCAGUCGAAGUUGAAAGGCGCGAUUGGGUGGAGUUGAAAGGCGUCAGGCGGAGGAGUUGAAAGGCGACGAGGCGCGCGGCGGAGAGAAACGAACGCCGGGAGAGAAAGUCCUUAAGGAUCCGCGUUCCACCACGCGGACGGGGUCGUAUGGGGACCAGUGGGAGCGGGACGCGCCUCAUCUCUUCCACGUACGUCACCAGCCCCGGGUGCUUUUUGAGCUCCACGCGAAGCGCGUCCCCGACGGGCGCGCGCGCGUGGUAGCUCAGAUGCGCGAACACGAGCGCGUCGAGCGACGUCGGGGUUUUGCCAAAGAAAAACGGCCCGCCGCUGUCCAUCAGGCGUCGUUCCAGCGCGGCGUACGCGUCGCGGACGCCGCGCGUCACCCCCUCCUCGCCGCCCUCCCAAAACGAUCCCCCCGAUGAUCGAUGUCGACGCAUCACGCCUCUCCGCCACAGCCACGGAAGGAUGUAGCUCAUCGGCGCCGGGAACGCGGCGCCGUACGCCUCGCGCGUGUGCGCGCGGAACCGGUCGCGAUCGAUCCACGUGUAGUACGUCGUCGCCGUCGCGAGGCGCGACUCCGCGAGCGCGAGAAACGCGACGAGCGUCGCGCGGUCGCUCUCGGAGACGGCCGCGUUCGAAUCGAGGUCCGCGACCUUCGCGCGCAGGUGCGUCGUGAUCCGCGCCAUCGCGAGCGAGCCGUCCGCCUUGCACGCGGCUCCCCCGGCGUCAUCGUAUGCGUCCGCGCCGUCCGCGCCGUCCGCGGNNNNNNNNNNNNNNNNNNNNNNNNNNNNNNNNNNNNNNNNNNNNNNNNNNNNNNNNNNNNNNNNNNNNNNNNNNNNNNNNNNNNNNNNNNNNNNNNNNNNNNNNNNNNNNNNNNNNNNNNNNNNNNNNNNNNNNNNNNNNNNNNNNNNNNNNNNNNNNNNNNNNNNNNNNNNNNNNNNNNNNNNNNNNNNNNNNNNNNNNNNNNNNNNNNNNNNNNNNNNNNNNNNNNNNNNNNNNNNNNNNNNNNNNNNNNNNNNNNNNNNNNNNNNNNNNNNNNNNNNNNNNNNNNNNNNNNNNNNNNNNNNNNNNNNNNNNNNNNNNNNNNNNNNNNNNNNNNNNNNNNNNNNNNNNNNNNNNNNNNNNNNNNNNNNNNNNNNNNNNNNNNNNNNNNNNNNNNNNNNNNNNNNNNNNNNNNNNNNNNNNNNNNNNNNNNNNNNNNNNNNNNNNNNNNNNNNNNNNNNNNNNNNNNNNNNNNNNNNNNNNNNNNNNNNNNNNNNNNNNNNNNNNNNNNNNNNNNNNNNNNNNNNNNNNNNNNNNNNNNNNNNNNNNNNNNNNNNNNNNNNNNNNNNNNNNNNNNNNNNNNNNNNNNNNNNNNNNNNNNNNNNNNNNNNNNNNNNNNNNNNNNNNNNNNNNNNNNNNNNNNNNNNNNNNNNNNNNNNNNNNNNNNNNNNNNNNNNNNNNNNNNNNNNNNNNNNNNNNNNNNNNNNNNNNNNNNNNNNNNNNNNNNNNNNNNNNNNNNNNNNNNNNNNNNNNNNNNNNNNNNNNNNNNNNNNNNNNNNNNNNNNNNNNNNNNNNNNNNNNNNNNNNNNNNNNNNNNNNNNNNNNNNNNNNNNNNNNNNNNNNNNNNNNNNNNNNNNNNNNNNNNNNNNNNNNNNNNNNNNNNNNNNNNNNNNNNNNNNNNNNNNNNNNNNNNNNNNNNNNNNNNNNNNNNNNNNNNNNNNNNNNNNNNNNNNNNNNNNNNNNNNNNNNNNNNNNNNNNNNNNNNNNNNNNNNNNNNNNNNNNNNNNNNNNNNNNNNNNNNNNNNNNNNNNNNNNNNNNNNNNNNNNNNNNNNNNNNNNNNNNNNNNNNNNNNNNNNNNNNNNNNNNNNNNNNNNNNNNNNNNNNNNNNNNNNNNNNNNNNNNNNNNNNNNNNNNNNNNNNNNNNNNNNNNNNNNNNNNNNNNNNNNNNNNNNNNNNNNNNNNNNNNNNNNNNNNNNNNNNNNNNNNNNNNNNNNNNNNNNNNNNNNNNNNNNNNNNNNNNNNNNNNNNNNNNNNNNNNNNNNNNNNNNNNNNNNNNNNNNNNNNNNNNNNNNNNNNNNNNNNNNNNNNNNNNNNNNNNNNNNNNNNNNNNNNNNNNNNNNNNNNNNNNNNNNNNNNNNNNNNNNNNNNNNNNNNNNNNNNNNNNNNNNNNNNNNNNNNNNNNNNNNNNNNNNNNNNNNNNNNNNNNNNNNNNNNNNNNNNNNNNNNNNNNNNNNNNNNNNNNNNNNNNNNNNNNNNNNNNNNNNNNNNNNNNNNNNNNNNNNNNNNNNNNNNNNNNNNNNNNNNNNNNNNNNNNNNNNNNNNNNNNNNNNNNNNNNNNNNNNNNNNNNNNNNNNNNNNNNNNNNNNNNNNNNNNNNNNNNNNNNNNNNNNNNNNNNNNNNNNNNNNNNNNNNNNNNNNNNNNNNNNNNNNNNNNNNNNNNNNNNNNNNNNNNNNNNNNNNNNNNNNNNNNNNNNNNNNNNNNNNNNNNNNNNNNNNNNNNNNNNNNNNNNNNNNNNNNNNNNNNNNNNNNNNNNNNNNNNNNNNNNNNNNNNNNNNNNNNNNNNNNNNNNNNNNNNNNNNNNNNNNNNNNNNNNNNNNNNNNNNNNNNNNNNNNNNNNNNNNNNNNNNNNNCUUGAUUCGCGAGCUCGGACGUCGGGGCGAGGAUGAGCAGACGCGGGCGGAACGGUUUCGACCGGCCCUCCGUCGCCUCAAUCUCGGCGACGCGUUGCAGCAGCGGGAGCAGAUACGCGAGCGUCUUGCCGCUGCCGGCUUGGUCCGCGAGGAGGACGUGCUGCGGCGGAGGUUUCGCCACGUCGGAUCCAACAUGAGAUGACGUGUCAUCUUCUGAUUCGUCCGACGCGCUGGCGGCGUCCGACGCGGCGCCUGAGGACAAAACCUUGUAACUCAGCGCCUGGAUGUGCGACGGCCGCUCGAUGCCGAACUCUUUCAGCGCCUCGGACACGCCUUCCGACGCCCCCAACGCGUUGAACCGCCCGCCGCUGAAGAAGUUGUACUCGUCCGCCUCGUCCGGCUCGCGCGUGUACACCAUCGGCUCGAAGUCGUCUUCGACGUACUUUGAGAGGAGCUCCGGCUGGUACGCGCGCUUUUGUUUCGCGUCCCAUCGACGGCCUUCCUCGAGCUCGUCCUCGAGGCCUUCGAGGAUCCACUCGUCGUCGUUAUCGUCCGUGACGCUGUCGUAACGGUCGUCGUGACGGUCAUCGUAACGGUCGUCGUGACGGUCGUCGUAACGGUCGUCGCGACGGUUACUGAAACCGUCGCGCGGGGAAUCGCGCGGACCGCCGCGUUCCGCGUCGCUCUUUCGACCCUCCGCGACGAUUCGAAGGACUUCAUCCGCGGCCGCGCGCGCGUCUCCGCCGCUGAUUUCCACGACGCCUUUUUCUUUCCUCACGUUUAAGUACGCCCCGGUGUCGUCCUGGAUCGUUUGCACCAUGGACCCGCCUUUACCGAUUAUCCUGCCCUCUUGGCCCGCGCACGGUACGUAGAUCGUGCCGUCCGGUCCGGUCGUGACCCGCUCGUCGGUAAAUCCUCCUCCUCCGCCGCCGCCGCCGCGGGGGCCGUCGUAUCCUUCGUCCCGGUACCCCCCGCGUCGCGGCGGCGGUCCGCGGUCGAAACCGCGGUCGCCGCCGUACCCGCCGCGCGAAGACUCUCUCCUCGCGCGGUAGCCUUCGUUCCCUCGAUACUCGUCCCCGUAGUCGUCGUCCCCGUGCGCCUCCUGAUACCGAUACCCCCGGUCGUCACCCCGGUCGUCACCCCGGUCUCUGCCGUAGGGGGUACCCCGGUCGCCGUCGCCGUCGCCGAACACGACGCCGGCGACGCGUUCGCGUGGUCGAAAUUUCCGCUGAGUCGCGGCGACGCCUCGCGAGAUCCCGUCCGUCUCCUGCCCUUGCGCGACGAUGUCGUUCACCCACGCGACGGCCGCCGCGACGUCGCCGCCGGUGAUGCGGCACGUCCCGUCGUCCCUGUUGAUGUCUAACCGAGCCCCGGUCGCGUCUUGGAUCUGCGCGACCAUGCCGCCGCCUUUGCCGAUGAUUCUGCCCUCUUGCCCGGCGACGUCGAGAACCUCGCCGCCGCCGCUCGGGAGGCGAUACGAACCGCCGCGAUACGAACCGCCGCCGUCGUCGUCGCGACGUCCCCGGCCGCCGGCGCCGGCGCCGCCUCCGUACCCUUCGUCGUCUCCGUCGUUGAAACCUCGGCUCCGAGAGACGCCGCGACCGCCUCGUCCCUUCUCGCGGAGCGACCCGCGGCCGCGCGGCGGGCGGUCGUCGUAGUACGCCUCCGCGCGGUCGUCGCGCUCGUACUCGUCCUCGUACGCGUCGCGGCGAGGCGGGCCGCGGCCGCCUCGCGCGCCUCUGCCGCGUCCGCCGCCGCGUCCGCCGCGUCCGCCGCGGCCGCGGCCGCCGCCGCCGCCGCCGUUUCGCGACUCUCGAAUCGCCUCGCCCCAAUUCGCGUUCUCACGCGGCGCCGUGCCGUCGCCGUACUCGAUGACGCGGUACGAGCCGUCGCCGCCCGCGCGCGCGACGUGGCCGCGAGGCGUGCGAAGAGAGACGCGCGCGCGCGCGACGCGGCAUCUCGGAGGCACCACCGAGAGAAGGGCGAGGGCGGCCAUCCCGUGCGACGCGCUUCCGGAAGUGCCAACGAAAAUUCCGAAAACCUCGUGUUCAUCGGUCAGUUGAAGGACGAUGGGGUCAAAUAUAUCAAAUGUUGAAACCGAAUAUGAGAGAAAAAAAUCGAUCGAACCCUCCGGGCGUGCUUCUCGAGGUCGUCAGCGCAGCGUCAGGGCAGGCAGGGUUGGUCCUCCGAGGGUUCGCGCUCGGGCCACUCGGCCUCGCGCGCGACGCGACACGCACUCCGCUCGACUUCCAAUCGUUUCUACGAUCGCGAUGGUCGCAGCUCUCCGCCGCGCGACCGAUCGCGCGGCGACGACGGCCGAUACGAGAGUCAUGGGCGACUGAUCCCGUCGCGCCUCGCUCCCCCUCCUCCACGGAGCGGGGGCUAACCAUCCACUUUCAACUCUCCUCGCGAGAGCGCGCGAACGACGCGGCGACGCCGACGCGCGCCCCGCUCGCGCGGUAAAGGAUGGCGCCUCCUCCUCCUCAGAAACACACGCAGCCUCAGAAGAAGGCCGGCCGCGGCCGCGGCCCCGGCCCCGGCCGCGGCCGCGGCCGCGGCGCGGGACGCGCCGGCCGAGGACCCGGACGCGGCGCGCGGCUGCCCGCCUCGAACGCGACGCCGCCGUUCGCGGCGUCGUCCGCGCCGCCGCACGUCGUCCACGUGUGUCAAGCGCCCGCGCUCGCGCCCGCGCAAGAGCUCGUCGCGCGAAUUCGCGCGGCGACGGACGCGUCGCUCGACGCGCGCGUCCGCGAGGAUGCGCUGCGCGCGAUGCGGGACCUGCUCGAGAAGGAAUUCUCCGGCGCCGCCGUCGUCGGCGGCGGCGAUCGAUUCGCUCGCGUCCACGACGCGAUGCUGACGCUCGUGAACGAUCCCGCGCCGGGCGUUCGCGCCGCCGCGCCGGGGGUGCUCGGCGCCGCCGCGUGCGCGGUCGCGCGAUUCGACGCCGAAUCGAUCGCGGCGGAAUCGUUCGCCGACGACGACGCCGCCGACACCGCCGACGCCGGUUGCGCGUUCGACGACGACGACGACGCGCGGCCGCCGCCGCCGACGCGCGGAAGCGACGUUUUCUUCCAGUGGGUGACGCGCGCGAUCGCGAUCGCGCUCGCGAAGAACGACCGCGGCGUCGUGGACGGUAAAGACCUCCAGACGAAAGCGUUCGCGAUGGAAGCGGCGGGCGCGUGCAUUCACGCGACGCUCGCGCGCGUCGACGCGGAGAACGCCGCCGCCGACGCCGCCGCCGACGCGGCGGCGGCGGCGGCUUCGACUCGGCUGAGCGCGAUCGUUUACCCGAAGUUCCCAGAGCUCGCGCGCGCGUGCCAGGCUGCGCUGGACGACGCGCUGACGCCGUGGCAGCUCCUCCCCGGGCUGUUGAAACUCUUGAGGAUCAUGAUGCGUCGUCGCGAAUGGAUCUUCCCGCCGGGCGACGAAGCGCGCGCGUCGACGUCGUUCACGAACCUCGCAGACGCGCUGCUCGCGUGGAUGAUGAACGAUGACGCGCCGACGGAGGUGAAAAACCUCGUAACGGCGCAGCUGGGCGGCUUCGACCGCGAGUGGGUCGCGAAUAAAACGUUCGCGGGUACGGUCUUAUCGCAUUUGUGCGACGACGUCUGCAUUCGCAAACGUUUCGUGAAUAAUAAAUUCGACAUUUUGUCGUGUUCGUGGGAGGAGGCGGAGGCGAUGGAGAAAACGAAAAAAGCCGCCGCCGGGUGCUUCCGCGCGAUCGCAAAGCGAAACCUCGCGUCGAAAAUUUUACCCAAAGACACCGCGGUCGCGAUGACGACGAAGCUGCUCGCCUUGGCCAGAGCCGCGUGCUGGCGCAAGGACGAGACGGAGACGUGGCAGGCGUGCACGUGCGCCGGUCUCCUCGCGCGCGCGUGCGCGGACGCCUUCCCGGCGGAGAUCUUCCCCCCCGACCUCUUCGUCGACGCGGUAGCGGCCGAGGAUAUGCCGACGACCGAGAGCGCGCUCGACGCCGUCGUCGCCGUUCUCGACGCCGUCGCGGCCACCGCGAACGCGAAUGAUUCGUGGAGAGAGCAUCGCGACGGAUUCGUUCGCGCCGUCGCAGCGGCGUUUUCUUAUCAUGGGGGCGCGGCGGCGCGAAUGCGACGCUCUUCCGACCCGCGGGAGCGCGACCGCGCGAGAGACGCGUACUUCACGCUGGUGACGAGCGACGACGCGACGAUUCGGUUCACGGCGACGCGCGAGAUCGGAGCAGCGCUCGAGAGGACGAAGCAAUUAUCGAAAUCGAAAUCAGACGCCGCCGCGGCGGUGGACGACGCGGCGUUUUACCUCGACGUCUU
rnacentral:lncRNA from 1 species